rnacentral:lncRNA from 1 species
GUGCUUUAUUUUGUUUAUAUAAAGGAAGAAGAUGAGAUGAGAAAGAGAGUUCACGGGAAAGAAAGAGAGGAAGGAAGGAAGAGGAAGAGAGAGAAGGAAAAGGAAGAGAGAAAAUAGAGGAAGAUAAGAGGAGAUAAUAGAGAGAGUUAUCUUUGUACUCCUAUUAUUUCAAAUUAUAAUGAAAGCACCACUGCUGCCCCGAGGACGUACUCCAGUCACACUGACUGUAGAGGAACCUCGUAAAUUUUGUGUCUUGUUUCAUUUAUUCCACUGCACCCACAGUCGAUUUUACAACACGUUAUCAGCACGAGAAGCUCUCAUGUCAGUGGAAAGCACAACGCCACAAAUCCUAUUCACCUCCUUCAGCUGGAAUCUCACAGAUAAGAAACAAUUUUCAUUUCAUCUUCAAAUCUCAGUACAAUUGAUUUUCUUGAAGCAACUAUAUAUAUUGUUGUAUGACUGUAUAUCAUCCUUUGCAGAAGCAAAAGAGUACAUACUCAAAAUUCGUAAAGAAUUUGACAGCCAUUUAAACAGCCUCUGAACUCCAACUUGCGGACCUCGGAUUAAAAUACUUUCUUCUUGAAAGUUGUUCGUCCACUCAGUAUCUACAACAUAUCAAAAUUUCAGAAAACUUUAACGGUUCGAUCGUUGCAGAUGUCUGAAAUACUAAACCAGUUUCCAAUUUCCGCAGAAAACUGGACAGCCACCUUAUGAGUACCAUAACUCUAUUUCUGUAGCUCAAAUCGAAAUUGUUUCUUCACGAAAGUUGUUUGGUAUCCUCUUAUCCAUAUCAUACUAAAAUUUGAACUAAAUCUAACGGUUUGAGCUUCUCAUAAGUUGCAGACACUCUUGACUCCAAAACUUAUGGGAACCGUUUCGACUUUUUCGAAACUCACCGGAGGAGGAACACCAAUUGGAACUUAUUGUUACUAUUAGUUACUGAGUAACCAAAAUGACUUCGAACUGUGAAAUAAUAAUAAAAAUAAAAGGGAUGAAACAAAAGAAGUGGCAGACCAAGAAAAUGAAAAAGCAAAACAUGAGGACUUAAUCAUUGCAUUUUCUGUUUUGGCAUAUUUAUGUGCAUGGUGUCGGUUUAAAGCCCAUGUCACAAGUUCUAUUUAUUUAAAGCAAUUUAUUUAUAGUGGGUAUAAUUAUUACCCUUUGCUUUAAAGCUUUGAUAUUUAUGUGAAUGGUGCUGAAUCAAAGCCCUUGUCAUAAGUUUUAUUUACUUUAAAGCAAUUUAUUUACCAUGGACGGUUUUACCGCCUAUUGCUUUAAGUUUUGAUGGUGCUGAAUUAAAGCCCUUGUCACAAGCUUUAUUUACUUAAAUGCAAUUUAUUCAUUAUUGCUGGAAUUACCGUCUAUUGCUUUAAUUUAUUUAUUGUACUUAUCUUUUGUUACUAUGAGUAUAUACAGGACCUGAAGUUCCUUGAUCAGAUCAGAACCUGCAGUUUCUUGAUCCUCAUCAUAUAAAAUGAUUGGACCCGAAGUUCCAUCAUACAAAAGGAUCUGGCAUGAAGUCCUUUGAUCCUGAAGAUCAGGACAUGAAGUUCCUAGAUGAGUACCGUAAGUUUGAAGUGCCGCAAUGCCUCAACUUAAUUAUAAUAAAGGACAUAAGAGUCUCAGUUCACAGACUAUUAAACAAGGACCAGAAGUUCCUCAUGUCUAUACUCAAAAUGGUUUAGCAGAAGCAUUUAUUAAGUAGGUGAAAUUAAUUAUCAACGCUCUGCUCAUGAAAACGAAAUUGCCAAUUUUCUACAUGGGAACAUGUAAACUUUACAUGAUGCAUUAUUAAUUCGGUUGAGACAUGUUACCGACCAUCAAUACUUCUCAGUAGAACUCGGGUUUGGGAACCAGCCAAACAUUAUACAUUUACGAGUUUUUGGUUGUGUUAUCUAUGUGUCUAUUGCACUACCACAACGUACUGAAAUGAGGCAUCAUCGUAGAUUAGGCAUUAAAGUUGAACACCAUCUAUCAUUCAAUAUUUAGAACCCUUGAUUGGGGAUAUGUUUACCGCAUGUUUUGCGGACUGUUAUUUUGAUAAGACAAUUUUCCCGCUGUUAGGGGGAGAAAAUAUCGUUCCAGAAAAAUGAUGAGAAAAGACCGUUCCAGAAAAACGAAGAGAAUUUGUCUUAUUUUGAUUCACGAAGCAAUCAAUGAGAAAAUGAAAUAUGAAUAAUUGAAUGAUGCAACGAAAGUGAUGAAAUCAUAUAUAUUUACUGCAAAUGUGCCUACAAGAAUUGAUGUCUCUGUUGGUAAAAUAAUGAGACAGUAAAUGAUUUAUCUGUUGCACGCCUGAAGCAUGGCAGAUUUUUAGACUCAAAAGGUUCAGUUAUUCGAAAGAAGAAUAAUAUGGCACUACUGAACUAUUGCAUUCCCGAAGCAUAAUUGUUGCAUGCCAGAAGCAUGACAGUCGCCGCAUGGAUACACGUCCCAGAUAGGACAAUCCACAGACAUGGGAAUGUUGAUGUCUCAUACAUGAAGCAUAAUAAACAUAUAGGUUCCAAUGACUCAACUCCCGGAAAUGGAGAUUAAAAUCCAAGCUCUAUAACGCUCAAGAGGAGGUUAUGAUCCACAUUCUCUCAAUUAUGACUAUCUUGGAAGAGAUAGCGUCAUGCCCUUGAAGAGGCAAUGGAUAUCCAAAGAAAUGAAAAGCUUUUAUGCAUGCGCAUGCACAGGAGAAUAUGGGAUCACGGAUUGAUGAUAACCAAUGGUAAUUUUGGUUUUUACAAGUAGCUACUAAAUUCAUCAAUGAGCUGUGUUAAUAUUGAGUCACGUUCUUUUGUUCGUCGACAAAAGAAAAAUUAUUGGCCAAAAUGGAGAAAGGCAAUUCCAUUACAAUUUUGUAAGAACGUGGGCAAAUGAAUCUAUAUAUAUUUGAAUACAAUACAAAUAGCCAAAUGAUAUUGAACCAAGGAGGUUAUAUAUGGGCAUUUGUAAUACAGUGUAAUACACUUACAUGAUAUGACACAAGGUUGUAAACGAGUUCAUAUGAAUGGAGAAUUAUAUACGAAGGGUUGUGAGUCGCCCACAUUAUAUCUCCAUAAGUAAAUCCCUCAAGUAUACAUGGGAGCAAAUUGCUCUGUAUAAAUUCCAAAGGAAAAUGUGUCAUGAAGUGUAGAAAAUCCUUGAAGGAUUCAAAUUGCUUGAAGUAAGCCCCUGAAGGGUAAAGCAUAAAAUAUAUACUCAAUAUCAAUGGAUGAUAUAAAUUGCCUUAGUGAGUACUAUCAUUAUGAUAUUGUUGCAACAUACUAAAAUCUCUUGCAAGAGUCAAUGACAUUAAAUUAGAACUCUUGAAGAGUUGAUGAUAUUAAAUUGGGACUCCUGAAGAGUCUAGAAAAAUUAUAAAGUGUUGAAGGAAUUAUUGUCUCGAGCUGCAGAUUGAACAAUCUACCAACACGAAUCUUAUCCAUGAUAUUUAUGAUAUUAAAAGAACCAUAUGGAUUGAAGAUUAUGAGUUAAAUACUCAUAUGAUGAAGACACUAAGAAUAAACAUUUAUCUUCGUGAGGGUAAAGAUAAAUUAAUAUUUGGUCCAGAAGUACCACAUCUUAGUGAAGUAUAUGCUUUAUUGUAUUUGGCAAUACAUUGAAUGAAAUAAAGCUUAUUUAUUAAUAUUUCCAAGAAAUUACAGAUAUAUACAUACACAUGAGUUAAAACAAACAAACAGGAUGAAGCAUUCACAAAGGUUACUCAUGUGCAGCCUCAGUACUCGAAAGUACCCCAGAAGGGGGAGGCACUGGAGAUUGAUCAUGUGGCACCCCAGUACUUAGCAAAACACCAGAAGGGGAAGGCAUCAGUUGCUUUCGGAAUCUAGCAACGAACCUCUGGUGAUCACUUUGAAUCCGACUUUCGGAUUCCUGCAGUUGGACGAGCUUUCUUUUCAUGCUCGUAGAGUAACUAUUUGCAAGCACGUGUAACACCCUAUUCUCGUGCUUGAGCCCUCUGAUCUCUUGUUUAAGACUUGCCACCUCCGCCAUCAAUGAUUCAACUUGGCGAGUUUGAGCAAGUAGGCGUUGGCCCAUAUUGGAAACAGAGCCAGCACACUGAACACUGAGAGCCAAGGAGUCUUGAACGGCCGACUCUUCAGACCGUUAUGAAAGGAUCUUGUUAUCCGUUGGAGUGAGAAGAUUUCUAGCUACCACAGUAGCGGUUAUGUUAUUCUUCAUCAUAGAGUCCCCAACCGUAAGAGGACCAUUAGAAGAUAAGAAGGACGUGCGCCAUAUAUUAUCCUGACGCUGCUCGUCUGUAUCACUCCUAAGACUCAAAUCUAAGCAAAUGUUAGAUGGGCAAGUCAUUUUUCAGAAAUGAUGAAGGAAAAACAGAGGUCAAAUAAAAUUUCAGAAGUUCAAGAAGGUGGAAAUUUCUCAGGCAGCAACUUUAUGAGCAUACUCUUGAAUGCAAUUGAUGUCUCUAUAAAAGAAGAGGCAACAGAGCCGCUUGUUCAAAGAUCAAAGCGACACGGCUCUCCGAAUUUCAAAAAGCCAGAUUUUCCUGAAUAAAGUUCGUUGGCAUUUUUCAGACGUAAUCCCAGCUUUUCAGAUGUCGCGUGCAAUUUUGUCAAAGAUCUCUAACAAAGUUGAAAACGCGUAAAUCUUACUGUUCUAUUUACACCACAGUUGCUGACAAGAGUAAAAGCACAGCACCACCACUUGCUAUUGAGAAAUCUCUAUAUAUGUCGACCUCUGUUCUCCAUAACAAGGCAGACCUGCAACACUGCAAGAAUGCCUAACUCUUCCUCAUCUCCGAGAAUGCAUCUUCAACAUAGCAUCUCGAAAUACUUAGUUUUCUUCCUCUCUGAGAAUACCUCUUCAAACAUGUUACACCAGAGCAAGAUUAUCACAUAUCUUCAGGGACCAGAGCAAGAUUAUCUCAUAUCAUGCAAUCUCCCUGUCAUUUCCUUUGUCCUUGUUCUUGCCUGCGAAGACAAGGAUAAAGAAAGCAAUAUGUCGGAACCUCCACUCAAACUCCCGGUAAGGAACCGACUGCUUGGAACCUUUCCUGAUUGCUUACCUAAUGUUGCUCUCGAGUAGCCAUCUUCAACGGUUGGAGCUGGGUCUCCAGUCACCAAGAAGUGAUGAACCAUCCAAAUGCAAGGGUUUGCAUUCCACUUCUGCACCAGGGGACAAAUCCUACAAGAGAAGAUGCCACAUAUGCAUGGGGGAAAAAGCAGUGAAAAUACUACUUAAGUAAGGGGAGCAAGUAAGGAAAGUGAAAAUGAUGCAUUGAAGCAUGUGGAGACAAGUGCAAUGAACAUAUGCUGAUUCAUCCCCAACUAAGCCGACUAUCACUUGUCACGUGAAGCUCCUCAUGGUCCAAUUUCAUUCAAGAUCAAGCCUCGAAGGUCCUUGAAGAAAUCACAAGUCCGAUUCAAGAUCAAGUGUUCACUACUCUUGAAUCAAAUUCCGCUCCAGAUAAAAGGAGUAAAUUCAGACCUUUGGAUGCUAGUCUAGCAGAAAGUCCUACAACCCAGUUCAAGAAAAAGCCUGUGGAAAGUUAACAACAAGUAAAGCAACUCUUUCAGCAACUCUUCUUACUAAGAGACUAAAGCAGAACGAUCAACGAUCAACCUAAAUGAUUUGAAAUCAGGGGGAGAUACUCAUCAGGGGGAGCAUUCAAAACAGAUCAAGAUUUUAACGAGUCAAUCGAAAACUUGUGGCCAUCCAAGGGGGAGUGUUAUAAAUAUUAUGUGGAUGGUCCACAUGAAUAGUUUGUUACUAUUUAUGCACAGUAUUUUCACUAUUCAUUUGUGGAAAAUUUGUAAAGUGAAUAGUGCUUUAUUUUGUUUAUAUAAAGGAAGAAGAUGAGAUGAGAAAGAGAGUUCACGGGAAAGAAAGAGAGGAAGGAAGGAAGAGGAAGAGAGAGAAGGAAAAGGAAGAGAGAAAAUAGAGGAAGAUAAGAGGAGAUAAUAGAGAGAGUUAUCUUUGUACUCCUAUUAUUUCAAAUUAUAAUGAAAGCACCACUGCUGCCCCGAGGACGUACUCCAGUCACACUGACUGUAGAGGAACCUCGUAAAUUUUGUGUCUUGUUUCAUUUAUUCCACUGCACCCACAGUCGAUUUUACAACAAGGCGAUAUUUAUUAUGUGAUUUUUGGACCCAAGACUCCCUUAUUUGAUUAUUCACUUAAUCUUGUUAGUUAAAGGUGCUUUUCUUCUAUUAUACAAAGCUCAAAGAACACAUCUAUUCUACAGUCUACUUAACGUGGCCACGCCUAAUAUUUUGACUUUAGCAAGUUUAAGAUCCAAGUGAAUGAAACAAAAAAAAAAAAAAAAAACCAAAAGAUCAAUCGAAAUUUAAAGAAACACGGUACAAAAAUAGACAUGUUCAUUAAAUUUAUUUUGUGGAUGAGAAUUAAGAACAAGAAAAUUCAAAGUCAAAGUAUUAAAAAAAGGAUAUUUUCUCGUUUGAAAAACCUAUUGUGAUUAUUUUUUUUACUAUAAACAUUAGAACCGUCCGUUACUAUAUAUAUAAAAAAAAACAAUUGACUAGAAAAGUUUGAAAAAACUUGAAUGUCACAAUUUUUUUUUAUAUUUCUAAGUGAUGGAAAAGAAAGAAUAUCUUUCACAUAUCCACCAAGUGUCACAACUAUUUUUUAAAUGAUAUAAAGAAAGAUGUCUUUGUUCUCAAAAGAAACGCUCCCCCUUAAUGAAUUUUUAUAAUGGUAAUGCAAUGAUGUGUCAUCAAUAUAAAGUAAGUAAAUUAAUUAACAUUUAAAUAAUAAUACAAUCAUCAAUAAUCAUAUCAUUUAAAUUACAAAAUUUUAAUUUAAAAUGAUCAAUUGAUUUGGUCAAAUGCAGUUGAUGGUGGUGAUGCAAUAUCCUACAAGAUAUUGCAUAGACUUUUCGCGUGGUUAGCCAAAAAAUUAAACUUUUAUGUGUUUUUGUUUGGCUAGCUUUCUUGUUCUUCCUGGCUGUUGCCACAGACUUUUCGCAUCUAUCACUACUAGAAAAAAUGGGAUGUGAACUAGUGGGGUCAUGUGCCCAGUCUUGCCUUGGCUAGGAGAUAUGUUUUUAGCUUGUUGGAAAAACGGUGCGUCAAAUCAACCAUCUCCUUUAACUAACAAUGAUGUAGGAAUUGACAGAGUACGUAAGCAAUGAUGUAGGGGAGGGCCAUAUAAUAUUUAAGUUUUAUAUAUAUAUAUAUACAUCCUUUUGCCGUACUCUUUUUCCCAUUUUGCAGUUUAAUGCAAUUGAAGGUGGUAAUGCAAUGUCCUACAAGAUAAUGGUGGUUAGGUACCAUCUAGCCAGAAAAUUAAGAGUCCGUUGGAUAUCUUAUUUGAAAUUUUUUAUUAUUUUUUAAAACAUUUCUUAAUAACAUUUUUUGAAAAUAAUUUUCUUUAAGACUUAAAAAUUUGAUUGGUUUGCGAUUUAAAAAUUUUACAUCUUACGACUUAAACUAGAUAAAAAGAUGGAAUCACAUGAGAGGGAGAAAUAGAAGAGAGGAGGAAAUAAAGUAAUAGAUGAUUGAAAGAAUUAUAAAGAAGGGAGAUGAUCGGACAAGAUAGAGAGGAAGAUGAGUGGGAGAAAGAAUCAAAAGAAUGAAGAAGAUUGGAGAAUAGACAAAAAAGGUAAAAGAAAAAAAAAAGUAGACAAGAGAGAUAGAUUUGGAGUGAGAAAGGAGGAUGGAAACAAAAGAAAUGAGUGAGUGUAAGUUUAAAAAUUCUAUAAACUUAUUUUUUAUGUUUUUAGAGAAUAUACUAUAUUUUUUAGUUAGUUUUGUUUAGUUUUUAAAAAUAAUCAUACGAAACAAAUUUUUAAAAUCUAAAACUUGAAAAUUAUUUUUAAUAUAAAAAAUUGAAUUUAAGUAGAGUAAGUUAUAAACAUUUAUUUGUUUUUUGUAUCGCCAGUUUUUCUGUUCUUGUUGGUUGCUGCCGUAGUCUUUUGACUCUUUUCGCAUCUAUCACUACUAGAAAAACUGGGACAAGAACUGAUGGGCUUAUAUUCAUUGUGGUGGGCUGAGUAUAUUGGUUUUAUACCACAUUUAUAUUAAAUAUUUUGGCAGUAGGACCAACUAAUAAAUGUGAGUUUUAUUUUUAUUAAAAAUUGUUACAAAUAUAGUAUGAAAAAUGUGAUAAAAAUAAUAUUUUUGUAGUUUUAUUUGAGCGUGGGGGCAUGUACCCAGUCUUGCCUUAGCUCAGAGAGGUCUUUUAGAGCAACUCCACCCUUGGAGCCCUCCCCCUGACAAUCCAUUAUUGAAUCCACCCUAUUAAACAGUAACUGCCUUUAAUGAAUAGUAACUACCAUUAAUGAACAGUAAUUACCUUUUGCAUCUCCACCCUUGGAGCCCUCCCCUGGCAAUAAGUAAUAAAAUAAUAGUUUUUUUUGUUUGUUUAAAUAAUAUAAAAUAAUAAAAAACAGGGAAAUGGGGCUGUAGGGCCUCGGGCUGACACAAAAAACAAUAAAAAAAUGCCUUGGCCCUCGGGCUGCAGACUUGUCAACUCUCCACCCCCUUGUGCUCGGGCUCCCACCCUCACUCGGGCCCUCCAUGGCUGGAGAAGAAUCAACCGGCCCUCGGGCCCCUUCCUGCAGCCCGUCCCCCGAGCAAAGUAGAAGGCUGGGGUUGCUCUUAGUGUGUCGAAAACAAACGUUGCAUUAAGUGUAAUAAUAACUAAUUGAAAUUUCUUUUUUUUUUAAGUUCUAACCAAUUGUAUUAUAAAAAAAAAUGAGAAAAUUUGAAAUAGGUUCAAUUUUAUAGAUCUACUUUUAAAAUAUGGCUAAUUUUUAAUGAUUUUUUACUUUUGAAAUAAAUCUAAUUUUUAAUUAUUUUGAACCUAUAUCAACAGAUCUCUAUAAAAAUUAGUGUAGCCGUACUGUUGAUAUUGAAAAAUAUAUCCCAGCCGACAAAAUAGACAGAGUACGUAAGCAAUGAUGUAGGCGAGGGCCAUAUAAUAUUUAAGUUUUAUAUAUAUACACGCACCAGGAUCCUCGCCGGAUCCAUUCCUUAGGGAUCCUAGAGAUCCCGCAAUCUUAUCCGUUCAUUAUAUAUCGUGCGGUCAGUUUUCAUUAGGUAUUAUUUACUUUUGAAUUUUAAAAUUUAAAAUUUAAAUAAUUUCUAACCGCACGAUAUACGAUGAACGAAUAGGAUUGUAGGAUCCCUAGGAAUGGAUCCGGCGAGGAUCCUGGUCCAUAUAUAUACAUCCUUUUGCCGUACGCUUUUGCAUUUUGCAGUUUAAUAAGGGUCUGGCCUCAUUGUCCCCGUGUUUUUUUGUGCUUUUUUAUUGCGUUCGUUAUUAAGUCAUGUCAACAUGUUAUAUUAUUUUAUUUAUAUUAUAAAGAUAAUAAGAUAAAAAUAAAUAGUAAUAUAAAAUAUUGACAUGGUUUAACUGUGAUCAUAUAAAUAGAAGAGUAUAGGAGGACACGAAAACAAGAAGGGUAGACAAUCUUGCCCGUUUAAUACGUAGUUCAAAUUAAGCAUUUUUAUCCAAUGGAAGAACAUGACUAUAUUUAUGUCUGUGGUUGAUGUGCGAAGAAAGUAGAAAGCAGAAACCAGAAAGAGUGAAAGAACAACCGAGAAAGAUGAAGAAAGUGGAACUCGUGUUCAUCCCAUCACCAGGAGCAGGCCACCAUCUACCAACGCUGCAAUUCGUUAAGCGUUUGAUCGAUCGCAACGACAGAAUUUCGAUCACCAUUCUUGCCAUCCAGUCAUACUUCCCAACUACUCUAAGUUCAUACACAAAAUCGAUUGCAGCCUCAGAACCCCGAAUCCGAUUCAUUGAUGUCCCACAACCUCAAGAUCGACCUCCGCAAGAGAUGUACAAGUCACGAGCACAAAUCUUCUCUCUUUACAUUGAGAGUCACGUCCCCAGUGUCAAGAAAAUCAUCACCAACCUCGUCUCCUCUAGUGCUAAUAGUUCAGAUUCGAUUCGUGUUGCUGCUUUGGUAGUUGAUUUAUUCUGUGUGUCCAUGAUUGAUGUGGCCAAAGAACUCAAUAUUCCUUCUUAUCUUUUCCUGACAAGCAAUGCAGGAUAUCUAGCUUUCAUGCUCCACCUUCCAAUUCUUCAUGAAAAAAACCAGAUUGCUGUUGAAGAAUCCGAUCCCGAUUGGUCAAUCCCAGGUAUGUUUGUGACAAUCACAAGUGUUUUUUAAUGCGUUUAACAUGAAAAGUCAUAAGGGUUUCUGAGUCAUAAAGACUUCUGGAGAAGCACAUGCAAGUGGUUUCUUCACGAAGCAUUUCAAGUCAUUUUUCAGGAAGCAAUUGACUUUUUAAUAAACAAAAAUCAGCAUGUCAUAUGAAAUCAUUUCUAGCAUAGAUGUUUAGAGUAAAAGUGCUUUCUGCAAAAUGAAAUUUCACUGUAUCAAACGAGUACAAUGCUAUCUCCACCAAAAAAGACCAACAUGUCCAAUGUUUAAAGAUGCGCCCCCUUAGACUUCAUUGCAGUUGAAAAGUUGUGAUUUCUUGGAGUUUGAUUCUUGCACUGAAAAUUUUCGACACUUAGGUAUUGUCCACCCGGUUCCUCCAAGAGUUUUGCCUGCGGCUUUGACAGAUGGUAGGCUCUCCGCUUACAUCAAGUUGGCUUCAAGAUUUAGAGAGACUAGAGGCAUUAUAGUAAACACAUUUGUAGAGUUAGAGACACAUGCUAUCACAUUGUUUUCCAAUGACGACCGAGUCCCUCCAGUGUACCCAGUCGGGCCAGUGAUCGACCUGGAUGACGGUCAGGAACAUUCCAACCUAGACCAGGCACAGCGCGACAAGAUCAUCAAAUGGCUUGAUGACCAGCCUCAGAAAUCUGUUGUGUUUUUGUGUUUUGGUAGCAUGGGAAGCUUUGGGGCAGAGCAAGUCAAGGAAAUAGCUGUAGGGCUUGAACAAAGUGGGCAGAGGUUUUUAUGGUCCCUGCGCAUGCCGUCACCCAAAGGCAUAGUCCCAAGUGAUUGCUCAAAUCUUGAAGAAGUUUUGCCAGAUGGGUUCUUGGAGAGGACCAAUGGGAAGAAAGGGUUGAUAUGUGGGUGGGCCCCACAGGUGGAGAUCCUGGCCCACAGUGCAACCGGAGGGUUCUUGUCGCACUGCGGGUGGAACUCGAUAUUGGAGAGCUUGUGGCAUGGCGUCCCUAUUGCGACGUGGCCCAUGUAUGCAGAGCAGCAACUCAAUGCUUUUAGGAUGGUGAGGGAGUUGGGGAUGGCGUUGGAGAUGAGGCUGGAUUACAAGACAGGCAGCGCUGAUGUGGUGGGGGCGGACGAGAUUGAGAAGGCUGUGGUUGGUGUGAUGGAGAAGGAUAGUGAGGUGAGGAAGAAGGUGGAAGAGAUGGGAAAGAUGGCUAGAAAAGCUGUGAAGGAUGGAGGGUCUUCAUUUGCUUCUGUUGGGAGAUUUAUUGAGGAUGUGAUUGGUCAGAAUUAGGGUUUUAAGUAGUAUGGGUUGUUAAUUUUUUAAGUUUAAGAACUCAUGAAUGUACUAAUUUUUCCUUGUUCUUGUAUGUUGAUUAUGAAUUUAUCAGCUUGUAAUUUAUAUGUUUUAGUUCUACAAUGAUAAAUCAAACAAAACGAUUUUGUAAAUUUGUUAGGAAAGAGGGUUUUGGAGUUUGUGAUAUUGAGCCUCCACGUUGUCGGAUGAGAUUUAAGUUCAACUCUCGCGGAUGAAAGUAGUUGAAUAACAUUGCUUACAGAAAACGGGAUUUUGGUUAUCACAUAUUAAUCAAUGACAUAAUGCAUAUUAAGGAUGGUUGGGAACCAUAUGAAAAAUAUAGAUCAAGAAGCUUCCAGAGGUUUUACAAAUUGACUUCAUUUCUUGCAGACCAAGAGCUUCAGUUUAUCAUUUAUUCAUUUCUUGCAGGCCAUCCUUGCUAGCAAAUCAACCAUCUCCUGCAACUAAAAGUCAAUGCUAAUGAAGUUUCAAUCUUGCUGUUAACGUUUUCGGCUCCAACUCAAGCAUAUGGCUACACGCCUUUUCAGCAAGCUGAACAUUCCCAUGAAGUCCAAAGGCCCGAAGAACAGCCCCCCAUACAGAAGCAGUAGGAGCUAUUGGCAUUUUCUCAAUCAACUCUAUAGCUUCCUCCAGAUUUCCAGAACAACCUAAAAUAUCGACCAUGCAAGCAUAGUGCUUUACACCAGGCACAACCCCGAAAACUGGCUCCAUUUGAAAGAGAAACGUUCUUCCUUCGUCCACCAAUCCAGCAUGGUUGGUGAGUGUCAUGGAAUUGGGCUUCACCUUGGUUUCUAGCAUUCUUGAGAAACAAUCCAAUGCAUCCCUCCCUUUCCCAUGCAUUGCCAGAGCAGCAAUCAUAGCACUCCAUACGAACACAUCUCUUCUUUCCACUGAUUUAAACACCUCAAGUGCCUUAUCCAGAUCCCCACACUUUGCAUACAUGUUGAUAAGCGAGGUUGUGAGGUGACAAUUCAUCUUCAUACCCUGCUUCUUUGUGUAAACAUGUAUCAACCCACCAAGACAAUUGCUCUCAAUUGAGCACAGGCUGCCAGAGUACUAACUAGAGUGACAUCGUCAGGUUUCUGGCUCUUCCUUUUCUGCAAGUCAUGAAAAUCGCCAAAGCCUCCUUUGGCUUGUCACUUUGUUCAUAAGACGAAGUGAGGACAUUCCAUGCAGCAAUGUCUUGACCAGGCAUUGCAGCGAAAACCCACCAAGCCUCAUCAUAAUUUCCUGACUGAGCAUACCCAUCAAGCAUUGUAGUCCACGAGAAAAUAUCCUUCUCCGGCAUCCUAUCAAACAAUCAUUUCGCUUCCUCAAUACUCCCACAUAUCACAUACAUAUCAAGCAUAGCAUAGCAUUGUUCAAAGUCAAGUUCUCUCCAAUUUCAUUCCUUUCAAUACACGAACAAAUCCACCUCCCAAACUCCAAAUCCACCUUCUUUGCGCAAGCUGACAACACACUCACCAUCAUCACAUCAUUCGGCUUCACAUUCUCCGCCUCCAUCUCCGUAAACAACUCCAAGGCCUCCUCUGGACAAUUCCCUUGCGCAAAAGCCGUGAUCAUAGAAUUCCAAGACACAACAUCUUUCUUAGUAGUCUUCACGAAAACCUGCCGUGCCAAAUCUAAAUCCCCGCACGAUCCAUACAAAUGAACCAGCGAAUUGAAAAUUUAAACGUCCGAACCAAGCGAGGCCUUUAUCACCAUGCCAUGAAACCCUCUUCCGAGCUCAAAAAUCCGGAGCUCUGAAGCCACAUUGAUCAUAAACGGGUAAGUAAAAAAAUUGGAACUUUCCAUACAGCGAUAAAGCAUUUCCAAAAUUACAAGGAUGCUUUCAGUCGGGUCGGUGCUCGACGCAUAAGCGUGAAUGAGGGUGUUCCAGGAGUAGAGAUUGUUAGAAUAUGAGCAUGAGUAUGAAUUGGUAAACUUGGUUGUAGGAUUAGAGAUUGAGUAGGAAGUCUUGUUGGGAAUGAAUUUGUAAAUCCAUGUUGUAACUGGACUGCUAUUUGGGAUGAAUUGGUAUUCUAUAUGGAUCUUAAUAGGAGAAUCCUUAUAGAAUUUGGCUAAGAUUGUAUAGUAUAUAUAUGGUGGCCUCUGCUCUUGCAGUGUGUACUCAAUAAAAGACUAAGACCUAUUAUUAGUUGAGAGUCUCGUUCACUGAAGAGAGGAGAAGGUGCACCACGACUUUGCUGCAGAAAUCAGACAUGGCAGCAGCUUCGAACUCUUCUGCAGAUAUGUUUUCUCUCUGUGCAUUGCUUUAUGGUUUAUGGUUUUGUGUUUUGAUCACGGUAACUUGCUUUGCAUGAUCCUGGUGUUGUGUUUAUUCUAACAUGUGGUAUCAGAGCCAAUCCCUGGCCGGAAGUGUGCCGAUGAGGACGUCGGGCCCCUAAGGGGGGUGGAUUGUGACAUCCCACAUCGGCCAAGGAAGUGAUCCUUAAAUGUAUAUUCUCAUCCCUAUCUAGCACGAGGCCUUUUGGGAGCUCACUGGCUUCGGGUUUCGUAGGAACUCCGAAGUUAAGCGAGAAGGAGGUCAGAGCACUCCCAGGAUGGGUGACCCACUGGGAAGUUGCUCGUGAGUUCCCAAAAACAAAACCGUGAGGGCGUGGUCGGGGCCCAAAGCGGAUAAUAUCGUGCUACGGUGGUGGAGCGGGCCCGAGAAAUGGUCCGCCCCAGGCAGGGAUGUGACAAAUGGUAUCAGAGCCUUGGGUUCAUAAAUUAUAAGUUCUGUGAUUAAAACCAAUAGGUUCCAAAACCAUAAAUAAUAUUGAGGAAAAUAUAUCUUCAUUGCCGCGUUAGGGAAUCGAACACAGGUUCUAGUAUAAUGCCUUGCGAAUAACGAAAAAACAUGUUUGAAAAAUAUAACCUUUUGAAUUUCAAAGGAUGUUACGGUUGGAUUUUCUGCAAAUCCAAGGGAAGGGGUUUUCUUUCCGAUUGGGUCUUUUCGAGUAAGAACAUUAACCAACAAUACAUGCUUCUGAGUUACAAUCUUACAACUGAUAUGAUCAAUUUGAAUGGUUAUUCCGCUGCACUGUUUAAAAAAUUGGAUCUGUGCAAGGUAUGUUUGAUAAAUUGCAAAGUUUUAUUCUUGCCUUCUUAACGGUUGUUCUGCAAGAUUGAGUCCAGGGUUUAUAUUAGAUCUUAAAGGAUAAGAUUAUGAUAACAAAAUCUAUAUGGAUUCAAUUGAAUUGAAACUGUUUUGCAUAAAUUUUAGACCUUGGGUGUUCGAUCAUGUGUUAUCCGCAAUUAUUUUGAAAUCUGCAGAUUACUAAUGCACCUUUAUGUUUUCUGUUAAACCAUGAAUGAUGGUUAUCAUGCAUGAGACAUCUCUUGACUGUCUGUUGUUGCAUAUCUUGUCAUGGUUUUCGCUAAGUUUUGAUAAGUCAAUUUUUCUAUGUAUGCUUAUCAACUAUAUGUUGUUAAGUCUAUAUGUAUGAUUUAUUGAUGAGAGUUGUGAUGUGCUAAACUGCAAAAGGAAAUCAGGAACCUAACUGGUUCAUAUUUGUGAUUUCUUCUGCAGCAUCCGCCAUGUCUCUCAAGACUUUGAACUUAGCUUAUAUACCAACUCUCAGCUGAAGGUGUCUUAUAAUACACAAGACAAGAGUUGGGAUAUAGAUGAGCUCAUCGCACAAUGUGUUCAAGAGGAGACUCGGCAAAAGCUAGAAAGAGGCAAGGAUGUUGAGACUGUGAAUUUUGUGCAAGUAGGAAAGGGGAAGAAAUUCAACAAUGCUGGAAAUAAUUCAGGUAAGAAUUUCAAGUACUCCAAACCUUCUGAUAAGACUGGUACUUCUACUAAAAUAUUUGAUAUUUCUAAAGGGUCUAACAAUCUUAAACCAAAAGUUAAAAAUGUUGCCAAGCUUAAGUGUUUUUUUUCUGCAAAACUCGAGGUCAUCUAAGAAAGGAUUGUGAAUUGUUUAAGGAUUAUUUGAGAGCUAAUGGCAAAGAGGUAGUUAAUGUCUGUGAAGAGUCUUUUGAUCAGUGGGAGUAGUUUGUUUUUCUGUUUUACAAAGAGCAAUUGCUGCAUUAAGGACAAUUGGAAAAUAAAGUUUGAGAAGUGUUGCUACUGUGAAGUUCGAAGAGCUGGUGUGGCAGUUUUGUUCUUCUCUAAAGUUAAGUUUAUGUUUAGCUAGUUUAAUUAUCAAUUAGUAUAAUUGUUAGCUAGGUUUAUUGCAUUCAGAGAUUCAAUUUUUGUAAUUGAUUGGUCUGAUAUAUAUAUGUUUCCGCUACUGAGUAUUGGUACUCAUCUAAUAAAUGGUAUGUAAUUCUUGAAAAUCAGAUCAGAGACAUGAAACAUAAAGCUUACAUCUUGUAUAAUUUUAAAUUCCUGAUAUGAUGUUUCAAUAACAGUCUUUUCCCAAGGCUCGUUACUUUAAAAUUUUAAAGUUUUGCAGUUUUGGAUGGUGGUCUUAUUGUAGAGGAAGUUUUGUUUGAUGCUUUGGAAACAGUUUGGCUGUUUUAAGCUUAUGAUUAGUAAAUCGUUUUAAGUCAAGGUUAUGUUGCUUUCCUAUAAGAUCGAUUUAUGUUUUGGUCUUUUUGAAAAGUGGGAGCAUAUUAUGUGAUUGACUGUUUAAUAUCAGUUUAUGUUAUGAGUCAUAUUUGCAGUCUGGAUAUGUGUGAACUUAGAAUCAAUACUGCAUUUUGGUUGUGGUUUAUGAUUCUCUGUUUCCAUGUUUUGGAGUGUAAUAGAAUGAUGGUCAUAACGAUGGAUUCUCAGGUGAGGCUCUGCAGUCACUUCUUAUAAAUUGGAGAAGUUCAUGUCUGAAAUUGAUCUCAUGUUAAAGUGGGAGAAAAUGUAAUAAUAUAAACAUGAGAUUGGGUGUUUUUUUACGGUGAAUGGUUAAGUCCAAUUAGAAUAAGAAAGCUUUAUGAGAAGCUGUGAACAAAUCCUUGUUUGUGAAGGGUUCUGUUAAAAAUAUUUGAACUGAUAUGGCUUGGAAAACAUAAGUUGUUUUCUAUAAGGAUUGUAAUAGGAAAUCCUUGUCAAGUUAUAAGGACAUAUAUAUGUUUUGGAUUCAGAUUGAUGCUUGAGAAUCUUUGUGAUUUGACUUGAGCAGUUGGUUGAAUUCAUAUAUUGGUAAUUCUUUAUAUUGGAAUGAAUUACUAGUUGAUAAUUUUACUAUCUGUUGGACUUAAUUGUUUCGAAUUAAGUUAAGGAAUAGUGGGAGUGGAUAUUUAGGUCCACUGAUGUCAAUUUGAUCAUAAUGUUAUAAGUGCAGAUUUAACAUAAGCAAUCUGAGGGCUUUAGACUGAUUAUGAUGUAGCUCAAAGGGGCGUAGUGAUCACCCUAUUAUAGUCGUAAUCGAACUAGUUUUCUCGGUUCAUACUUGCUCAAGUGGGAGAAUGUUAGAAUAUGAGCAUGAGUAUGAAUUGGUAAACUUGGUUGUAGGAUUAGAGAUUGAGUAGGAAGUCUUGUUGGGAAUGGAUUUGUAAAUCCAUGUUGUAACUGGACUGCUAUUUGGGAUGAAUUGGUAUUCUAUAUGGAUUUUAAUAGGAGAAUCCUUAUAGAAUUUGGCUAAGAUUGUAUAGUAUAUAUAUGGUGGCCUCUGCUCUUGCAGUGUGUACUCAAUAAAAAACUAAGACCUAUUAUUAGUUGAGAGUCUCGUUCACUGAAGAGAGGAGAAGAUGCACCACGACUUUGCUGCAGAAAUCAGACAUGGCAGCAGCUUCGAACUCUUCUGCAGAUAUGUUUUCUCUCUGUGCAUUGCUUUAUGGUUUAUGGUUUUGUGUUUUGAUCACGGUAACUUGCUUUGCAUGAUCCUGGUGUUGUGUUUAUUCUAACAGAGAUUUGGUUGGGGAAUUUGGUCCAACACUUGGCGGGCAUAGUCGAGGCUGGAGAAGGAAGAGAGGGCACAGACGGUGAUAAGCUUGCUGGCGGAGUAGGGGUCGAAGAGAAGGCCUGUACGGAGCAUUUGGGAGUGGACUUGCUUCAGCUGCUUGAUGCUGGUGCAGUGGUCGAUUGAGGAAAGAGGUGGGUCGCUUGAGAAACGAAGGUCGUUAGUGGCGGUUGGGGAUGUAGGGUUUGUGGGUGACGUGGCAGAGAUAUAAGGGGGUGCUUAGAGUUGCCAUCUCUUCUGUGGUCACUCUCGCACUAGCUGUUUUCACUUGAGGUUUUUUAAAAGGAAAACUAAUGAAAAAGAUUUGAAAGCUUUGAAUUUUAACGAUAAGGACAAAAUAAAGGGUAAAGUGAAUAGUAUUAGGAUUUACUUUUUAGUGUAAAAAUGUGAUUUUUCGUUAAAGUGAACAGUACCGGGAGUUUUUCGUUAAAGUUCCCUUUUUAAAAUUCUUUGAGGAGAUUCGAUCUUGUGAAAACGUUUUUAUGUUCCGCAUCGUGAAAACGUUCUUCGAUUUAAAAUUAACUUUAGCCGGUUCGGACUAAAAAAACCAUCGGUUUCACUUGUUGAGGCAAGAAUGCAUGACUUGUUAACUUAGAUGUAACCCAUGCCAAAUUAAUUGUAUUUCAGGCCGAACAUGAAUCCGUUUGAAGCUACUCAUAUUGUACUAGAGAAGCCAAUGCAUGAACAAUGGAUUCAUUUUACCUCCUCACCUAACUACUCGAGAUUAGGGAGUAGGUUUAGGUGGGAAAGUUUUAGAAACAUUUCCAUACUUUGUGCCGGAAGUAUUUCACUUAAUUUUCUUUUUAGUUUUGAACUUUGGCGAUAUUUAUUAUGUGCUUUUAAGACCCAAGACUCCAUUAUUCGAUUAUUCACUUAAUCUUGUUAGUUAUAGGUGUUUUUCUUCUAGUAUUCAAGGCUCCAAGAACACAGAUGUUCUAAUUAAUGUGGCUACACCUAAUAUUUUGAGUUUAGCAAACAUAAGAUCCGGGUAAAUGGAAAAGAAAAACCAAAAAAUCAAUUCCACUUUAAUAAAACACGGUAUAAAAAUAGACCUGAUUAUGAAAUUUAUUAUUUGAAUGAGAAUUAAGAACAAGAAAAUUCAAAGUCAAAGUAUUAAAAAAAAUUCUCGUUUGAAAAAUCCACCAAGUUUGACUACUAUUUUUUAAGGGAAUUUUAACGAAAAAUUCAUGGUACUGUUGACUUUAAUGAAAAACCAUAUUUUUACACUAAAAAGUCAAUCAUGAUACUAUUCACUUUCCCCUUUAUUUUGUCCUUAUCGUUAAAACUCAAAGUUUUAAAACCAAUUUUAUUAGUUUUCCUAUUUUUUUAAAUGAUACAAAGAAAGAUGUAUGUUGCCGUAUCUUUUCGCAUCUAUUACUACUAGAAAAAAUGGGAUGUGAACUAGUGGGCUUAAAUUCAUUGUAUGGGGCUCGGACUAUAUUGGUUUUUAUUCUCAGGAAAGGAUUUGGAGAGGAUUCUUUCCAUCGAAUCUAACAAGACACACAAUUCGAAUAUUUGAAAUUUGAUCAAACGGCUAAAGUUAUUAUAAUUUUUAAAGUGGGUCUUUAUUUGUAAUCGUUAGAUCAAAUUUCAAAGACCCAUAUUGUGUGCCUUGGUGAACUUGGUGGAAAAUAUCAUUUCCCUUGAUUCACAUUGGUUUUAUGAGUAACGCUACACUUACUAUAUUUAUAUUGUAUUUUUUAAUAGAAGUAUGACUAACCAAUACACGUGUAUCUCGUCUCUAUUAGAAAGUGAUAUAAAUAUUGUAUGAAAAAUAUGGUAAAAAUAGCAUUUUUGUAGUUUUAUUUGAGUGAGGGGGCAUGUGCCCAAUCUUGCAUUAGCUAAGAGAGAUUUUUUAGUGUGUUCAGAAUAAACAGUGGGGUAAGUGUAAUAAUAUAACUAGUUGAAAUUUGCUUUUUCAAAGUUCCAACCAAUUAUACUAAAACAAUUAGUGUACUGAGUUGCCAUUUAGUACUACAGUCAAGUGGUAUUCAUCUUCACUUGUAAGUGAGAUGUCUUAGUUUCGAUUCUCGUCAAAAAUGAGUUUAAACCACAUUAUUGCUAGCUCAUUGUGAGGCUAAAUUCACCCUAUCUUAAUGUAGAUAAUAUCACUCGUUUAAAAAAAAAAAUGUAUUGAGACAUAUUUCUGGCAUCGAAAAAUUUCUCCCAGAGCAGAUUCUCUGCCCUCCCACUUCCCAUUAUCAUCUCGCGCUCUUCUGUUUGUGUGGUCACGGUUAAGUCACAUCAACAUUUUUUUUAUAUAGAUAAUAAAACAAAAAUAAAUAGUAAUAUAAAAUAUUAAUAUAAUUUAAUUAUGAUCAUACAAAACAAGAGAGUACGCAGAAAGUGGAAUGACACCUCCAUUUCUUCCAGUGAGAUAAUUGACAGACUAAGUAAGCAAUGAUGUAGGAAUUGACAGAGUACGUAAGCAAUGAUGUAGGGGAGGGCCAUAUAAUAUAUAAGUUUUAUAUAUACAUCCUUUUGCCGUACUCUUUUUUGCAUUUUGCAGUUUAAUACGUAAUUCAAAUUAAGCAUUUUUAUCCAAUAGAAGAACAUCACUAUAUUUAUGUGUGUGGUUGAUGUCUCUGUUCACAAAAGAAGUGUUCCUCUUUUAAUGAUUUUUUAUAAGGGUAAUGCAAUGACGUGUCAUCAAUAAAAAAAUAAAUACUUUAAUUAAUACUUAAGUAAUAAUUUAAUCAUCAACAACUAUAUUAUUCUAUUUACAAAAUUUAAUUUUAAAUUUUAAUAUCUCUAGUAUUACUCUUUUUAUAAUUACUAAAGUUGCAAUAUCCUACAUGAUAAUUUCAAAUGAUCAAUUGAUUCGGUCAAAUGCAAUUGAUGGUGGUAAUGCAAUAUCCUACAAGAUAAUGGUGGUUAGGUACCAUCUAGCUAGAAAAUUAAGGGCAUGGUGUCCUAUUUAAUUUUUUUUUAUCAUUUUUAAAAACAUUUCUUAAGAACAUUUUUUGAAAAUAAAUUUCUUUAAUACUCAAAAACUUGAUUGGUUUGUAAUUUAAAAUUUUUAAAUCUUACGACUUAAACUAGACAAAGAGAAAGAAGGGAGAAGAUAGGACGAGAUAGAGAGGAAGAUGAGUGAGAGAAAGAACCGAAACAAUGAAGAGAAUUGGAGGAGAAACGAAAAAGUUAAAAGAAAAAAAAAGGAAAGAGAAAGAAGAAAAGAGAGAGAUAGAUUUGGAGUGUGAAGGGAUGAUGAAGAGAAAAGAAAUGAGUGAGUUUAAGUUUAAAAAUUCUAAAAACUCACUUUUUAUAUUUUUAGAGAAUAGACGAUAUUUUUUAGUUAGUCUUAAGUUCAGUUUUUUAAAAUAGUUAUACCAAAUAAGUUUUUAAAGUCUAAAACUUUAAGAUUAUUUUUUAAUUUAAAAAGUGGAAUUUAAGUUGAAUACCAAGCCCUAAACUUUUAUGUGUUUUGACUCUUGUUGGUUGCCGACAUAGUCUUUUGACUCUUUUCGCAUCUAUAACUACUAGAAAAACCGGGACGUGAACUGUGGUGGGCUGAGUAUAUUGGUUUUAUAAGCAACACCGUACUUACCACAUUUAUAUUAAUUUUUUUGGCACUAGGACCAACUAAUAAAUGUGAGUUUCAUUUUUAUUAAAAAUUGAUAUAAAUAUAGUAUGAAAAAUGUGGUAAAAAUAACGUUUUGUAGUUUUAUUUGAGUGUGGGGGCAUGUACCCAGUCUUGCCUUGGCUAGCUCGAAGAGGUCUUUUAGUGUGUCGAAAACGAACGUUGCACUAAAUGUAAUAAUAUAACUAAUUAAUUUUUUUUAAAUUCUAACCAACUGUAUUAUAGAAGUUAGUGUAGACAUAUUGUGAUAUCGAAAAAUUUCUCCCAGCGACAAAAUAGAGAGUACGUAAGCAAUGAUUCAUGGGAGAGCCAUAUAAUAUUUAAGUUUUAUAUAUAUACAUCCUUUUGCCGUACUCUUUUUCGCAUUUUGCAGUUUAAUACGUAGUUCAAAUUAAGCAUUUUUAUCCCAUAGAAGAAUAUCACUAUAUGUAUGUGUGUGGUUGAUGUGCAAAGAAAGUAGGAAGUAGAAAGUAGAAAGUAGAAACCAGAAAGAGUGAAAGAACAACCGAGAAAGAUGAAGAAAGUGGAACUAGUGUUCAUCCCAGCACCAGGAGCAGGCCACCUUGUACCAACGCUGCAAUUCGCAAAGCGUUUGAUCGAUCGCAACGACAGAAUUUCGAUCACCAUUCUUGCCAUCCAGUCAUUCUACCCAACCACUCUAAGUUCAUACACAAAAUCGAUUGCAGCCUCAGAACCCCGAAUCCGAUUCAUUGAUGUCCCACAACCUCAAUAUCGACCUCCGCAAGAGAUGUACAAGUCACGAGCAAAGAUCUUCUCUCUUUACAUUGAGAGUCACGUCCCCAGUGUCAAGAAAAUCAUCACCAACCUCGUCUCCUCUAGUGCUAAUAGUUCAGAUUCGAUUCGUGUUGCUGCUUUGGUAGUUGAUUUAUUCUGUGUGUCCAUGAUUGAUGUGGCCAAAGAACUCAAUAUUCCUUCUUAUCUUUUCCUGACAAGCAAUACAGGAUAUCUAGCUUUCAUGCUCAACCUUCCAAUUCUUCAUGAAAAAAACCAGAUUGCUGAAGAAUCCGAUCCCGAUUGGUCAAUCCCAGGUAUGUUUCUGACAAUCACAAGUGUUUUUUAAUGCGUUUAACAUGAAAAGUUACAAGUGUUUCUAAGUCAUAAAGACUCUUUCUGGAGAAGCACAUGCAAGUGGUUUCUUCACGAAGCAUUUCAAGUCAUUUUUCAGGAAGCAAUUGACUUUUUAAUAAACAAAAAUCAGCAUGUCAUAUGAAAUCAUUUCUAGCAUAGAUGUUUAGAGUAAAAGUGCUUUCUGCAAAAUGAAAUUUCACUGUAUCAAACGAGUACAAUGCUAUCUCCACCGAAAAAGACCAACAUGUCCAAUGUUUAAAGAUGCGCCCCCUUAGACUUCAUUGCAGUUGAAAAGUUGUGAUUUCUUGGAGUUUGAUUCUUACACUGAAAAUUUUCGACACUUAGGUAUUGUCCACCCGGUUCCUCCUAGAGUUUUGCCUGUGGCCUUGACAGACGGUAGCUGCUCCGCUUACAUCAAGUUGGCUUCAAGAUUUAGAGAGACUAGAGGCAUUAUAGUAAACACAUUUGUAGAGUUAGAGACACACGCUAUCACAUUGUUUUCCAAUGACGACCGAGUCCCUUCACUGUACCCAGUCGGGCCAGUGAUCGACCUGGAUGACGGUCAGGCACAUUCCAACCUAGACCAGGCACAGCGCGACAAGAUCAUCAAAUGGCUUGAUGACCAGCCUCAGAAAUCUGUUGUGUUUUUGUGUUUUGGUAGCAUGGGAAGCUUUGGGGCAGAGCAAGUGAAGGAAAUAGCUUUAGGGCUUGAACAAAGUGGGCAGAGGUUUUUAUGGUCCCUGCGCAUGCCGUCCCCCAAAGGCACCGUCCCAAGUGAUUGCUCAAAUCUUGAAGAAGUUUUGCCAGAUGGGUUCUUGGAGAGGACCAAUGGGAAGAAAGGGUUGAUAUGUGGGUGGGCCCCACAGGUGGAGGUCCUGACCCACAGUGCAACCGGAGGGUUCUUGUCGCACUGCGGGUGGAACUCGAUCUUGGAGAGCUUGUGGCAUGGCGUCCCUAUUGCGACGUGGCCCAUGUAUGCAGAGCAGCAGCUCAAUGCUUUCUGGAUGGUGAGGGAGUUGGGGAUGGCGUUGGAGAUGAGGCUGGAUUACAAGACAGGCAGCGCUGACGUGGUGGGGGCGGACGAGAUUGAGAGGGCUGUGGUUGGUGUGAUGGAGAAGGAUAGUGAGGUGAGGAAGAAGGUGGAAGAGAUGGGAAAGAUGGCUAGAAAAGCUGUGAAGGAUGGAGGGUCUUCAUUUGCUUCUGUUGGGAGAUUUAUUGAGGAUGUGAUUGGUGAGAAUUAGGGUUUUAAGUAGUGGUUGUUAAUUUUUUAAGUUUAAGAACUCAUGAAUGUACUAAUUUUUCCUUGUUCUUGUAUGUUGAUUGAUGCGAUGAAAGUUAAGCACGCACAUUAAACCCUAUUUUGACAAUUGUAGUAUAUGUAUAAGUACGGAUUAUUCUGGACCGGGGAUUAGGAGGGAUUGCUAAUCUAAACUAAACUGACUUACAAAAAGAAACUUAAAAACACUUAACUAGACUCUAUAGACUCAAAACACUUAAAAACACAAACUAAAACAAAUUCUAACUAAUUAGACACACUAAAGUAAAGGGGAAUUGAGUUUUGGACGAAUUUGAAAUAAACAAGCAAGUUAUAAAACUAGGCAGAUUCUAAAAUGAAUUUGAGAAAUAAAAUGAUGGAUGAAUUAGUUAGAGGUCCAUUCUUCACACAUGACACUCUUGUACAUGAAUCGAUUUCCAAUUGCUUUUUAAUAAACUAUUAUGCUGAACACCCCAGAUUAACCGUGAUGCACAAAUUAACCAUCAGAUUUUCAUUUACUCAUUGAAUUGGAUGAAUGCAUGCGACAACCUAAAUCAUUAUCUAAAAGUCCCCUAUAUGAAUGCAUAAUAGAGAUACAAUCAGAGAUCAUUACGUUCAAUGAAAAUCAUAAGUGUUGACGAGGCAAUUAUAACUAUGAAUGCAUGAUACAAUUGCCAAGAAUUCAAUUAACGUGAUUGUGAUAAACAACCUUUACUACUCAUGAAUAUAAACUUGUAACGAUUAGGUGAAACUCAUUUAUAUUCUAGCAUCUAAUUCAUGCAUGAAAAUUAAGUAUGCAUCCUUAAUAAACAUACAAGAAUCAGUUAUGAAUAAAAUAGAUAAUUGAAUUGCAAUCACAACUUAUCAAAUCACAAUUGGAAGAAAUCAAUUCAUAUCUCAAGCAUGUUCAUGGCUUCAAACUUCCCCCUAACUAAAUGGGGGUUUAGCCACUCAUAAUUGCAACAAAAUCAGAAAAUGAAUUUAACAUUGAAAACAAAAGAAAGAAAACACUUAAACGCUCAAACGAUUCAAGUUGACAGCACGCACGUCCAAGCAUUUUCUUUUCCUUCCUUUACUACGGCACAAGGUGUUGGUAAAUGUUUGAAGGUUUGUUUGUAUGGAGGAAUGGAUGUAAAUAUGAAUGGAUGUGUUUGGAUGAAGGUUGUAUUGAAAUGGGAGUGAAUGAUCUAAAAAAAUAUAUGAACUAAAUUUAUGUUACACACACACUUCCUUUUAUAGAGGAAGUGCAAGACAAUGGAGGGGGACAUAGAGUGGUGUUGAAAUGAUUCAAAGGUGAAAGUGAAGUAAUGAUGCAAAGGUGAAAGUGAAAGUGAAGUAAUGAUGCAAAACAUGGGUAAAAUGGAGUGGUGUUGAAAUGAUUCAAAGGUGAAAGUGAAAGUGAAGUGGUGUUGAAAUGAUUCAAAGGUGAAAGUGAAGUAAUGAUGCAAAGGAUGAGGGGUAAAAUGGAGUGGUGUUGAAAUGAUUCAAAGGUGAAAGUGAAGUAAUGAUGCAAAGCAUGAGGGGUAAAAUGGAGUGGUGUUGCAACAAUGAAUGCAAGUAGGGAACAUGAAUGAUUGUGCACAUGGUAGAGAAAGGAAAGAGAGGUGGAAUGGUGUAGAAAUGAGUCAAGGGUUAAGGUGGAUUGAUGAUUGAUGCAAGAAAUUUGGAAUGAUGGAGGGAACAAGGGUGGUGCUCGGCAAUGAGUGAAUGAAAUAGACAAGGAAUGUUGUUGGAACUUAGGGACAUUGAGGAUUAGGAAAGAUUAGAUCAAAAUAAGGUAAUCUUGACUCAUGUUUCUUCUUUGGUUGCUGAGCUCUUUGUCAUUAAUUAUUCUUUAUUUUUAACACAUUUCAAGCCUCUUUAUUCUUCAAUUUCGUCCAUCCACCUUGCUCCAUGCAUGUGCUAUCCAUUCCAAGCCCAAAACUGCUCCAAAAUGCAGCAAAAUUGUACCUUAUUGCUUUAUAAGGCCUAUGGACCUACAAACACACGAAAAUAACUUAAAAUACAUAAUUAACUAAGAAAUAACAACAUAAAUGAAUGAGAACAAGCUAACUCAGUUGCAUAAAUAUGCUCCUAUCAUUGAUUAUGAAUUUAUCAGCUUGUAAUUUAUAUGUUUUAGUUCUACAAUGAUAAAUCAAACAAAACGAUUUUGUAAAUUUGUUAGGAAAGAGGGUUUUGGAGUUUGUGACAUUGAGCCCCCACGUUGUCGGAUGAGAUUUAAGUUCAAAUCUCGCGGAUGAAAGUAGUUGAAUAACAUUGCUUACAGAAAACGGGAUUUUGUAAAUUCAUCUUCAUACCCUGCUUCUUUGUGUAAACAUGUAUCAAGCCACCAAGACAAUUGCUCUCAAUUGAGCACAGGCUGCCAGAGUACUAACUAGAGUGACUUCGUCAGGUUUCGGGCUCUUCCUUUUCUGCAAGUCAUGAAAAUCGCCAAAGCCUCCUUUGGCUUGUCACUUUGUUCAUAAGACGAAAUGAGGACAUUCCAUGCAGCAAUGUCUUGACCAGGCAUUGCAGCGAAAACCCACCAAGCCUCAUCAUAAUUUCCUGACUGAACAUACCCAUCAAGCAUUGUAGUCCACGAGAAAAUAUCCUUCUCCGACAUCCUAUCAAACAAUCUUUUCGCUUCCUCAAUGCUCCCACAUUUCACACACAUAUCAAGCAUAGCAUAGCAUUGUUCAAAGUCAAGUUCUCUCCAUUUUCAUUCCUUUCAAUACAAGAACAAACCCACCUCCCAAACUCCAAAUCCACCUUCUUUGCGCAAGCUGACAACACACUCACCAUCAUUCGGCUUCACAUUCUCCUCAUCCAUCUCCUUAAACAACUCCAAGGCUUCCUCUGGACAGUUCCUCUGCGCAAAAGCCGUGAUCAUAGAAUUCCAAGACACAACAUCUUUCUUAGUAGUCUUCACGAAGACCCACCAUGCGAAAUCCAAAUCCUCGCAUGACCCAUAGAAAUGAACCAGAGAAUUGAGAAUAUCAACAUCCGAACCAAGCGAGGCCUUUAUCACCAUGCCAUGAAACCCUCUUCUGAGCUUCAAAACUCGGAGCUCUGAAGCCGCCUUGAUCACAAACGGGUAAGUAAACUUAUUGGGACUUUCCACACAGCAAUAAAGCAUUUCCAGAAGUACAAGGAUGCUUUCAGUCGGGUCGGUGCUCGACGCAUAAGCGAGUAUGAGGGUAUUCCAAGAUAAGAGAUUUGGUUGAGGAAUUUGAUCGAACACUUGGCAUGCAUAGCGAGGCUGGAGCUGGAGAAGAGGGCACAGGUGGUGAUAAGCUUGCUGGUGGAGUAAGGGUCGGAGAGAAGGCCUGUACAGAGCAUUUGGACGUGGACUUGCUUCAGCUGCUUGAAGCUGGUGCAGUGGUCGAUUGAGGAAAGAGGUGGGUCGCUUGAGAAAUGAAGGUCGUUAGUGGCGGUUGGGGAUGGAAGGUUUGGUAGGUGACGUGGCAGAGAGAUAAGGUGGGUGCUUAGAGUUGCCAUCUCUUCUAUAGUCACUCAAGCUCGUGGUUUUUUAAGAGCAACUCCAGCGUGAGAGCUAUUUCCAGGCUAUUCACUAUUUAAUCCAUCUAAUCAAUAGUAAUUACCCUUAAUAAAUAGUAAUUACCUUAGCAAUUGUUUUUUGCAUCUCCACCCCUGCACUGAAUAACCUUGGCAAUUGGCAAUAAAAUAUUAAUAUAUUUUUUUUAAAUUAAUAUUAUAUUAUUAAUUUAUAUUUUCUUUUUGGUCUUCCCGAAACUUCUACCAUUUAUCUUUCGUCUUCCUUCCCACUCUCUCACUCCCCUCCCUUCUCUCCUCUACGCCCACCUAACCCUCUUCGAUCCCCUGCACAUCCAACAUUCCCCUCCUUCUUCGAUUCCACUCUUCUUUCCCCUGAUCCUUCCCUACCCUACCCACCUCUAGCUCACCACCAUACCCUAACCCCACCCAUUUGACGGCCGGUGGUCAACAAAACCCAGAUUUACGGCCAGAGAGUCGGUUUGACGGCGGUGGAGAACAAAACCCAAUGGUCGGAGAAGACGGUGGUGGGGAGCACAAACCAAGCGGCCAAAUCAAUUUUUUAAUAUUUUCAAUUUUUCUUUAAAUUUUUGCGUUGAAUAUGGCCUCUGUUAUGGAAUAUUUGGUCUGAUUUGGAUUUUUUUCUACAUUUAUUGUGGAUUCGGAUCCCAUAUGCCAUCAGUCUCGGCGACGAACUUCGGCGAGAGCUGUUAAGUUUGAAGCCAGAGUUUUACAUUUUUUUAAUUUUUUAUUAAUUUUUUUUAUAUUUUUAUUAAUUUUAUAUUAUGGAUGACGUCGUCCUGACGUCAGCCCACGUCACAUGGCCCUCAGGCUCUCGGGCUGGCAAUCCUUGCUGGGCAUGUUGCUCGGGCCUCGCCUGUCCCUUGGGCUCCCAUACGCUAGACCCUAUCCCCCCAGCAAUUUGGCCCUGUUUGCUGGCUUGUCCCUCGAGUAACCUCCCCCGUUGGAAUUGCUCUAAUUGCUCGAAGGAGGUUGUAGCUUGUGAGAACGCUCCUUAAGUUUUUUGAGGAGGAUUGACCUCAUGGAAUAAGGAUUCUCUCUGGAUCCUCAAAUCGUGUUCGUACAUCGUAUAUUAUGUGGUCAAUUUUUAUCAAGUACUAUUCAUAUUUAAUUUUAAAUAAAAGUAUUUAAAAUAAUUUAUACGAUGAAUAGACACGAUUUGAAGAUCUCUAAGAUCCUCACGAAGAAAAUCCAGAGAGAAUCCUCAUUCUUUAGACUUAACCAAUGAACCUAUUUAAAGUGACUCAUUUUGUACUAGAGAAGCAUGUGCAUGAACAAUGGAUUCAUUUUACCUUCUUAGGUGGGGAAGUUCUAGAAACAUUUCCAUACUUUGUGCUUGAAGUAUUUCACUUAAUUUUCUCUACAGUAUUGAACUUUGGCGAUAUUUAUUAUGUACUUUUAGGACCCGAGUCUCCAUUAUUUGAUUAUUCACUUAAUCUUGUUAGUUAUAGGUGCUUUUCUUCUAGUAUUCAAGACUCUAAGAACACAUCUCUUCUUGUGGAUACACAUAAUAUUUUGAGUUUAGUGAAUAUAAGAUUCGAGUGAAUGGAAAAGAAAAAACAAAAGAUCAAUUCCACUUUGAAGAAACACAAUAUAAAAAUAGACUUGUUUAUAAAAUUUAUUAUAUAGAUGAGAAUCAAGAACAAGAAAAUUCAAAGUCAAAACUAUUUAAAAAAAAGAUAUUUUUUCGUUCGAAAAACGUAUUGUGAUUAUUUUUUUUUUUACAAUAAUCGUUAAAAUCGCCCAUUACGAUAUAUAGAAAACAAUCGAUUUGAAAAGUUUGAAAAUUUUGAAAUGUCACAAAUUUUUUUUAGUAUGUCAAAGUGAUGGAAAAGAAAGAAUAUCUUUUACAUAUCCACCAAGUUUCUAUUUUUGAAAUGAUACAAAGAGAUGUCUCUGUUCACAAAAGAAGUGUUCCCCUUUUAAUGAAUUUUUAUAAGGGUAAUGCAAUGACGUGUCACCAAUAGAAAGUGACAAUAGAAAGUAAACACAUUAAUCAAUACUUAAGUAAUAAUUCAAUCAUCAACAACUACAUCAUUGUAUUUAUAAAAUUUAAUUUAAAAUUUUAAUCUCUCUAGUAUUACUCUUUUUAUAAUCACUAAAGUUGCAAUAUCCUACGUGAUAAUUUCAAAUGAUCAGUAGGCGGUAAUGCAAUAUCCUACAAAAUAAUUGUGGUUAGGUACCAUCUAGCCAGAAAACUGAACUUUUAUGUGUUUUUUGUGUGGCUAGUUUUUCUGUUCUUGUUGGUUGCUGCCAUGGUCUUUUGACUCUUUUCGCAUCUAUCACUACAAGAAAAACUGGGACGUGAACUGGUGGGCUUAUAUUCAUUGUGGUGGGUUGAGUAUAUUGGUUUUACAAGCAAUGUUAUACUUACCACAUUUAUAUUACAUUUUUCAUGGUAGUAGGACCAACUAAUACAUGUGAGCCUUAUUUUUAUUAAAAAUAAUACAAAUAUGAUAUGAUAAAAAUAACAUUUUUUUAGUUUUAUUUGAGUGUGGGGGCAUGUACCCAGUCUUGCCUUAUAGCUAGGAGAGGUAUUUUAGUGUGUCAAAAACAAACGUUGCACUAAGUGUAAUAAUAUAACUAAUCGAAUUUCUUAUUUUAAAGUUCUAACCAAUUGUAUUAUAAAAAUGAGUGUAGCCGUGUUGCUGGUAUUGAAAAAAUUCUCCCAGCGGCAAAAUAGACAGAGUACUUAAGCAAUGAUGUAGGGGAGGGCCAUAUAAUGUAUUAGUUUAAUAUAUGCAAUCAAAUCCUUUUGCCGUACACUUUUUCCGCAUUUUGCAGUUUAAUACGUAGUUCAAAUCAAGCAUUUGUAUCUAAUAGAAGAAGAACAUCACUAUAUUUAUGUGUGGUUGAUGUGCAAAGAAAGUAGUAAGUAGAAACCAGAAAGAGUGAAAGAACAACCGAGAAAGAUGAAGAAAGUGGAACUCGUGUUCAUCCCAUCACCAGGAGCAGGCCACCUUGUACCAACGUUGCAAUUCGCAAAGCGUUUGAUCGAUCGCAACGACAGAAUUUCGAUCACCAUUCUUGCCAUCCAGUCAUCCUUCCCAACCACUCUAAGUUCCUACACAAAAUCGAUUGCAACCUCAGAACCCCGAAUCCGAUUCAUUGAUGUCCCACAACCUCAAGAUCGACCUCCGCAAGAGAUGUACAAGUCACGAGCAAAGUUCUUCUCUCUUUACAUUGAGAGUCACGUCCCCAGUGUCAAGAAAAUCAUCACCAACCUCGUCUCCUCUAGUUCUAAUAGUUCAGAUUCGAUUCGUGUUUCUGCUUUGGUAGUUGAUUUCUUCUGUGUGUCCAUGAUUGAUGUGGCCAAAGAACUCAAUAUUCCUUCUUAUCUUUUCCUGACAAGCAAUGCAGGAUAUCUAGCUUUCAUGCUCCACCUUCCAAUUCUUCAUGAAAAAAACCAGAUUGCUGUUGAAGAAUCCGAUCCUGAAUGGUCAAUCCCAGGUAUGUUUGUGACAAUCACAAGUUCUUUUGGAUGCGUUUAACAUAAUUUUUUUAAGUGUUUCUGAGUCAUAAAAGCUCUUUCUAGAGAAGCACAUGCAAGUGGUUUCUUCACAAAGCAUUUCAAGUCCCUUUUGAGGAAGCAAUUGACUUUAUAAUAAACAAAAAUCAACGUGUCAUAUGAAAUCAUUUCUAGCAUAGGUGCUUACGAGUAAAAGUGCUUUGCAGAAGAAAUUUCACUGUAUCAAACGAGUACAAUGCUAUCUCCCCCCAAAAAGACAAACAUGUCCAAUGUUUAAAGACGCGUUGUAACAACAUAUUUUUAGAUUUCAUUGCAGUUGAAAAGUUUCGAUUUCUUGGAGUUGGAUUCUUACACUGAAAGUUUUCGACACUUAGGUAUUGUCCACCCGGUUCCUCCUAGAGUUUUUCCAGUGGCUUUGACAGAUGGUAGCUGCUCCGCUUACAUCAAGUUGGCUUCAAGAUUUAGAGAGACUAGAGGCAUUAUAUCAAACACAUUCGUAGAGUUAGAGACACAUGCUAUCACAUUGUUUUCCAAUGACGACCGAGUCCCUCCAGUGUACCCAGUUGGGCCAGUGAUCGACCUGGAUGAUGGUCAGGCACAUUCCAGCCUAGACCAAGCACAGCGCGACAAGAUCAUCAAAUGGCUUGAUGACCAGCCUCAGAAAUCUGUUGUGUUUUUGUGUUUUGGUAGCAUGGGAAGCUUUAGGGCAGAGCAAGUGAAGAAAAUAGCUUUAGGGCUUGAACAGAGCGGACAAAGGUUUUUAUGGUCCCUGCGCAUGCCGUCACCCAAAGGCACAGUCCCAAGUGAUUGCUCAAAUCUUGAAGAAGUUUUGCCAGAUGGAUUCUUGGAGAGGACCAAUGGGAAGAGAGGGUUGAUAUGUGGGUGGGCCCCACAGGUGGAUAUCCUGGCCCACAGUGCGACCGGAGGGUUCUUGUCACACUGCGGGUGGAACUCGAUCUUGGAGAGCUUGUGGCAUGGCGUCCCUAUUGCGACGUGGCCCAUGUGUGCAGAGCAGCAGCUCAAUGCUUUUAGGAUGUUGAGGGAGUUGGGGAUGGCGUUGGAGAUGAGGCUGGAUUACAUGACCGGCAGCGCUGACGUGGUGGGGGCGGACGAGAUUGAGAGGGCUGUGGUUGGUGUGAUGGAGAAGGAUAGUGAGGUGAGGAAGAAGGUGGAAGAGAUGGGAAAGUUGGCUAGAAAAGCUGUGAAGGAUGGAGGGUCUUCAUUUGCUUCUGCUGGGAGAUUUAUUGAGGAUGUGAUUGGUGAGAGUUGGGGUUUUAAGUAGUAUGGGUUGCUAAUUUUGUAAGUUUAAGAAAUCUUGAAUGUACUAAUAUCUCCAUGUUCUCGUAUGCCGUUUAUGAAUUUAUCAGCAAGUAAUUUAUAUGUUUUCCUUCUACAAUGAUAAAGCAAACGAAACGAGUUUGUAAAUUUGUUAGGGAAGAGGGACUUUGGAGUUUGUGACAUUUGAGUUCCGACGUUGAAUCUCGCCAAUAAAGUAGUUGAAUAAGAUCUCGGAAAAAAAAAAAUGAGAAAAAUUGGAGUUGAAUAAUACUAUGCCUAUAUUAAAAGAUUUUGGUUAUCACAUAUUAAUCAAUGAUAUAAAUGCAUAUACAAGGAUAGAUGAGAAUCAUAUGAGAAAAGAUCAAGAAGCUUCCAGAUUUUUACAAAUUGACAUCUUUUCUUGCAGACCAAGAACUUCAGUUUAUCAUUUACUCAUUUCUUGCUAUCAAAUUAACCAUAACUUCACUACCCCAAAUCAAACCUAUUAAUCUCCUCGAAGAAGAAACGAAAUGAAACCAACCAUCUCAGUAAUGUCAAUUAUUUGCUAGUAACACGGUGUCGACGCUUAAUCCUCUGCGGUUUCAACUAAAUUGAAGAAACAAUGACACAUGUUUGGGUUACAUGAUGCAAAUGAACAAAUUCGGUAUAUCCUGUAUAUCGGUUUCAUCAUGCUUUAAUAGAGAUUCAAACAGAUUCAACUCAAUAUUAACAAACUAACAAACUCUUUGCAUUUGGAUGAUUAAGUUUAAAAUGAGGAUUAAUAUCGUUUUGUUUACGAGGAUUUUUACUGAGUGAACGAAAUAACAUUUUCAUUUUGGUGACUUUGAUCCAACACAGUUGAUUUCACUAAUCCAGACCUAUCUUCCUCUAAAUUCUCUAAACCAUACAAUCCUAGUGCAACCAAACUCGAAUCUCGUCAAUGAUGAGUUAGUUACCAAUUUGUCCUCCAAGUGGGCUUAUAAGUUACAUGCAUUGUGUGGGGCUGGGACUAUAUUGAUUUUUGAUUCACGUACUAGUUUAAUACAUUAAUUACAUUAACAUUGAACAAAAGUUUAUGCAGUGUGGGGGCAUAUGCCCACUCUUGGCCUUAGGUAGGUCCGCCAGUGAGAAAAAUGAAAAUAAUAGUAGGUGAGUAAUGACGUAGGGGAGUAGAAAAUUUUCAUUGUGACGGGAAUACGGAUGGUACACCACGUGUUUUUAUGUAAGUGGUGAGAAAUUUUAUUUUUUGAGAGAUUAAUUUUUUAACACACAUAUCUCACCAUUUGUAUAGUAACACGUAAUGUACCACCUUGUGUAGUGAUUACACUGGAAAAUCUCUGGUACAGAAGGGCCAUAUAAUAUUAACACAUGCAAUCAAUCCUUGUUGUUUAUUUCUGUCCUUUAAUUAUGUAUAUUAUUGUAUUAAUGCGUAAUUCAAAUUAAGCAGUAUAAUAUAAUUUCUCCGGUGUGAGGCAGAUUGUUUGCCCCUGUAUAGAUGCCCUUCUAAUCUUCUUUUAUUUUGUGUGGUCACGGUUAAUUCACGUUCAUAUUUUAUAUUAAUUUUUUUAUAAUGAUAAUAAGACAAAAAAUAAUAAGAAUAUAAAAUAUUGACGUGAUUUAACCGUAACUGCACAAAUAAAAAAAAUAAAAAAGGUAUCUAAACAAAUAGGAGGGUAGACAAUCUUCCUUUUUUGCCCACUCUUGGCGUUAGGUAGGUCCGUCAGUGAGAAAAAUGACAAUAAUAGUACGUGAGCAAUGACGCGAGGGAGGGCCAUAUAAUAUUAAGUUUAACAAAUGCGGUCAAUCCUUUUUCUGUACUCUUUGUCUCCUUUUCACACUGUUUAUGUUAUUUGAUUAUGUAUAUUAUUGUUAUAAUGCGAAAUUAAGCACUAUGAUAUAAACCAGAAAGAGUGAAAGAACAAGUCAGAAAGAUGAAGAAAGUGGAACUAGUGUUCAUCCCAGCACCAGGAGAAGGCCACCUUGUAUCAGCACUGCAGUUCACAAGGCGUUUGAUCGAUCGCGAUGACAGAAUUUUGAUCACCAUUCUUGCCAUCCAGUCACCCUUCCGGACCACUAUAAAUUCAUACACAGAAUCGAUUGCAGCCUCAGAACCCCGAAUCCGAGUCAUUGAUGUCCAAGAACCUCAAGAUCAUCAACCUCCACAAGAGACGCACCAGUCACCAGAAAAAUUCAUCUGUCUUUACAUUGAGGGUCACGUCCCCAAUGUCAAGAAAAUCAUCACCAACCUCGUCUCCUUCAAUGCUAAUAGUUUGGAUUCGAUUCGUGUUGCUGCAUUGGUGGUUGAUUUCUUCUGUGUGUCCAUGAUUGAUGUGGCCAAGGAACUCAAUCUUCCUUCUUAUCUUUUCAUGCCAAGCAAUGCAGGAUAUCUAGCUCUCAUGCUCCAACUUCCAAUUCUUCAUGAAAAAAACCAGGUUGCGGUUGAAGAAUCCGAUCCCGAAUGGUUAAUCCCAGGUAUGUUUGUGACAAUCACAGGUGCUUUUGAAUUAACCCCUUUAGCACCAACAAGACAAAAGUGUUCAAUGUUUAAAGACACGUUGUAACAGCAAAUUUUUAGACUUCAUUCCAAUUGAAAAUUUUUGAUUUCUUGGAGUUGGAUUCUAACGCUUUGAAAAUUUUCGACAACUAGGUAUUGUCCACCCGGUUCCUCCUAGAGUUUUGCCGAUGGCUUUGACAGAUGGUAGCCGCCCUGCUUACAUCAAGUUGGCUUCAAGAUUUAGAGAAACUAGAGGCAUUGUAGCAAACACAUUUGUAGAGUUAGAGACACAUGCUAUCACAUUGUUUUCCAAUGACACCCGAAUUCCCCCGGUGUACCCAGUUGGGCCAGGGAUCGACCUGGAUGACGGUCAGGCACAUUCCAACCUAGACCAGGCACAGCGCGACAAGAUCAUCAAAUGGCUUGAUGACCAGCCUCAGAAAUCUGUUGUGUUUUUGUGUUUUGGUAGCAUGGGAAGCUUUAGGGCAGAGCAAGUGAAGGAAAUAGCUUUAGGGCUUGAACAAAGUGGGCAGAGGUUUUUAUGGUCCCUGCGCAUGCAGUCACCCAAAGGCACAGUCCCAAGUGAUUGCUCAAAUCUUGAAGAAGUUUUGCCAGAUGGGUUCUUGGAGAGGACCAAUGGGAAGAAAGGGUUGAUAUGUGGGUGGGCCCCACAGGUGGAGGUCCUGGCCCACAGUGCGACCGGAGGGUUCGUGUCACACUGCGGGUGGAACUCGAUCUUGGAGAGCUUGUGGCAUGGCGUCCCUAUUGCGACAUGGCCCAUGUAUGCAGAGCAGCAGCUCAAUGCUUUUAGGAUGGUGAGGGAGUUGGGGAUGGCGUUGGAGAUGAGGCUGGAUUACAAGACAGGCAGCGGUGACGUGGUGGGGGCGGACGAGAUUGAGAGGGCUGUGGUUGGUGUGAUGGAGAAGGAUAGUGAGGUGAGGAAGAAGGUGGAAGAGAUGGGAAAGAUGGCUAGAAAAGCUGUGAAGGAUGGGGGGUCUUCAUUUGCUUCUGUUGGGAGAUUUAUUGAGGAUGUGAUUGGUGAGAAUUAGGGUUUUAAGUAGUAUGGGUUGCUAAUUCUGUAAGUUUAAGAACUCAUGAAUGUACUAAUUUUUCCAUGUUCUUGUAUUCUGUUUAUGAAUUUAUCGGCUAGUAAUUUAUAUAUUUUCGUUCUACAACGAUAAAUCAAACGAAACUAGUUUCUAAAUUUGUUCGAGAAGAGGGUUUUUGGAGUUUGUGCGUGACAUCAAGUCCCGACUUUGUUCAAGUAGGUUCUGAAUUUAAAUCUCGCAAAUGAAAGUAGUUGAGUAAGGUUGCUUACUGAAUAGACAGUUGAGAAAAAAUUCGAGUUAAAUACCAUGCCUAGGUUGAAAGUUUUUGAGUAUAAGGAUAGAUUGGAACCAUAUGAGAAACAUAUAACAAGAAGCUUCCAGUUUAUCAAAUUGACAUCAAUUCUUGCAGACCAAGAACUUCAGUUUAUCAUUUUCUCAUUUUUAGCUAUCAAAUCAACCAUAGCCUCACUCCACCAAAUCAAACCUAGUGAUCACCCCAAACAAGAAACGAAACGAAGCCUACCAUCUCAGUAAUGAUUUUCCCAAACUGUAACCAAACAAAUAAAAUUGGUUUAGUUCGAUUCGGGUGAGCCAGAAUGUUGGUUUGGAUUGGUUAGCGACUCACUGGACGAAUCAAAGUACGGGAUUUAUUGAAUGACCAAGAAUUUUGUUGAGUUGGAGGCCGAAGUUUGUAGGUUAGGUCCUAACCCAUUCCUAUGAGAGGCGAAUGCAGUACUUGUUCUACAUGAGUUUCUUCCCGUGGCUAGAAAAACCUUCUUUUUACAGCUCACUACAUAAGUGAACCAAGUCAACAGUCUCCCCCACACCUCUGCAACUAAAACCCUAUGCAAACGCAGUUUCAAUCUUACUGUUAACAUUUUUAGCUAAGCAUCUUGGUUGUAUUCAAGGUUGAGACUUGUUCGACGCUUCAAAACAUACUCCAAAAUCACAUUUAUAUGCAGUAACGUCAAUUAUUUGCUAGUAAUCACACUGUUGAAACUUGAUCAUCUGCGGUUUGAACUAGAUUGAAGAAAAACUGACACAUGUUUGGGUUACAUGAUGCAAACGAACAAAUGCGGUAUAUCCUGUAUACGGCUACAUCAUGCUUUAAUAGAGAUGCAAACAGACUCAACUCAAUACUAACAAACAAACUCUUUACACUUGGAUUUGGAUGAUUAAGUUUAAAAUGAGGACUAAAAUCGUUUUGUCAAUGAGGAUUUUUAUGGAGUGAACGAAAUAACAUUUUCAUGGCGACUUUGAUCCAACACAGUUGAUUUCCCAACCUAUCUUCCUCUAAAUUCGCUAAACCAUACAACCCUUAGCAACCAAAUUCGACCAGAUGCGCUCUGUUAGCACCUUUAUAAAGUUCACACAGCAACACAAAACUUCUCAAAACUAGUUGUAUAGCUACAAACACGAAGACAACACGACUAAUAAGGUUGAUUCAACUCCAAGACAUCGAAAUUCCUUGACCAAAGCACAGAAAUUCAAAAACUAUACCGACAAUCUUGAUCGAAAAAACACUCGUAAAGCAUCCAGUUUCAUGGAAAAUGUAACUCUAUUCACUCCAAGAAUGCAAAUUCUACAAGCACCAAUAAGUGAACACAGCUAACACAGAAUCAAGACUCCAUUUUCACAAUUUACAACACCAAAGUUUAAACCUUUUGGCAAAAAUCAUACGAAUUGCCCUUUCAAUCACACAAAAUAUCAUCUACAUACGAAAAAAGCAACAGAGAAACAAAAUUCAGCCUACAUUGUCCAAAUUCGACAGCAAGAAAACAAGAAAAGCUCCGAUUUUUAUCAAACACGACAACUAUUACAUCAAGUUUAAGGGGAAAAAACACAAAUUAUAGUCAUAUUAUUACUGUACCAUGAAAAUCGAGAGUUUAUGAUCACUGUCGGCUACUAUCGUAAUCGACGACCUCGGAAUCCGCGAGCGAUCUGGAGUGCUGGACGAUGGACCGUCCGAUCGAGUUGAUCCACUCCUCCUUCUCCUUCUCCGAAUCGGCGAUGAAGUACAUCGUAUCAUGAUUAGUGGUGGAGAGCUCGAAGGCGCACGGCUUGUGCACCACGUCCUCGGCGCCCUUCACCGUCAGGCACGUGCCGACCGGGAUCACGCCGCGCGGCGUCGACGAACGGGUCACGUAACUAUCCUUGAACCAGAACAGCUUCCCCUGUUUCAAGACGAACCAGCGGCGCCGCCACGUCUUGAUGUAAUCGCCUUGUUUGGUCAGCCAGGUGGCGCGUUCAGGGUUGGACCAGAACUCGAUUCCGGUGUAGUCUUCCGGGCUCGGUUCUUGGCCCGUAGCCGCCCGCCACAGGCCCUCCAUUUUUUUACUUGGGCGGCGCGUGAGGUGGGUUUGUGUGGGCAGAGUUGAGGAAUUGGUCGGAAGUGAGACCGCGGAGGGAGAGAAAGGUUUUAUGUUUUUCUGUCCGGAAACAGAAACCGGUUUUUUGUUUGUUUAAUUUCGCAAACCGAGACGGCCGGUUGAUAUCAAACGCUGUUCUGUCCCGUUGUGACCGCGGUUCAAUUUGCUUAGGUGGCUUUGAAGCUGUGUACGUGGUAACAUGUGUGCUACUAGAAAGGUCGCAUGUUACAAGAACACUAAUCUACACUAAAUAAAUCGAAGGGGCUGUUUGAAUUCGAAAUACAGUAAGUUGAAGAUAAAGACUUUAACUACUAGAAUGAUUGAUUACUUUCACUCGUAAUCUAAAUCUUUUAUUUUCGUAAUGUAAAGUUUUGAAACACAUUAAUGCAUAAAUGAAUUUUAUUGUGAGUACAUGCGAAGAUAAAAGUAAAUGAGAGCAUUGAUCCCUUGCAACACAAUAGAAUGUUUGGUUCAUGAAAUUAACAGUUCUUUAAAGUUGGUAUAUGAGUUACCGACUACUAUUACAUUUUAGAGAUAUUUUUGUUCAUUUGUAACUGAAAUUUUUUAGGCAUGGAUGACGAAAACGUUAUAUAUUUGUUGAGUUCAAUGCCUAAUUAUUGAUGACACAUUGUGUGGCUUAGCUCAAUCUUCUCUUCCCUUAGAGUAGAACAUCCUCUACCCCGCUAAGGUAGAAUGUCAUUGAACGUGCUUAAUUUAAAAAAUUUUAUGUACAAGUUGGCAAUAAAACUGAUGUUCCGCAUUUUGUCAAGAGAAUUGUUAUUAGCACUCCAAAAUUAGCAUAAUACACUCCUCCUAAGUGUAAUUUUUUUACUAAUUAUAAAAAAUUUGGAGUGAAAAAUGAGAUCUUUAGAAUGCCAAUAACAAUUCUCUUUGUCAAAUUUAGAUAUCAAUUUCAUUGGACUUCUAAUUCAAAUACCAAAACAACAAUAUCAUCACAAUUCAAGACCAAUACUCCAUUUUUCUUUUAUAAAAGUGAAGAGUUUCAAUAUUAAUGCAUUAAGUCUCAUUCUCAUGGUUGUUGAACUUCUAGAAUUUUGGUUUUUUCUUUGUGGAAAUUCAGGGUGAAACGAAAGGGAUAUGUGAGGAAAAAGCUUCGAAGGAGAUAGUUGAAUUGAUGGUGAUUGGGAGAAGUAAUGCUGCAUUAGUGUAAUAGUAUUAGUAGAUUUGGCCAAACCUUUUCAUUUCAAGUUUCAUGUGUCUUCUAUGUUUGGGUGGAAUGAGUCCAAUGCAUAUUUCUUAAUUCUUUAAAUCUUUAUGUUUGUUACAUUCGUAGAAUACAGCUGAUACAUCUGUAGAAUAUUGUUGUUCGAUACCAUGUUCAUGACACAAGGUAGAGAAUGAUUGAUUCACAUAUUUAGUACCCUUGUCACUUUGGAAGACCAUAACGAUAGAAUAAAUAUGUUACAAACCAUGGCAACAAAGUAUUUAAAGUGAAGAAAAAAGUAAAAACCUCAUAGAUGGUGGAAGAAAGAGACAAAUGAUAAAGCUCAUCUUUACUGGAGGUCUGAAAAGUAACACGCUGGUAAGUAAGUCAUAAGUUUGAUAAAUGUGAGGAGCAAGGACAAAGAAGAUUAAAUUAUCUUGGGUGAAACGAGCAACAACAAAAAAAAAUACAAAGGCCGGGAAGAAAAAAGACAAUGCAAAGAUGAAAGUUAAGAAUCAAGAGAAAGAGGAAGGGUGCCGAUGUGGGUAAUGUACAUAGUAUUGCCUACCCAAAUAAACAUUAGAAGGAGAAGGACCCGCAUAGCGCUCCAUAGAGCAACCAAAGACGAUCGACUCGUCAUGGGUAAAUCGACUCGGCUAAAAGUCCGAACUACAAUCCUGACAAAUAAGGCAGUUUGGCAAAUGGGUAACACCUGCCAACGUGGGUCAGGCUGUUGUUCAAACUGGGUUACAGCAAAGGGUGCAGACCGAUCAGACCCACAGUACCUGUGCCGACCACCACCACUAGAAUUAAAUUAUUGACAAGUGAAAUCCAAAAAGUACCAAAAAAUGAUGUAAAGAUUUUUACUUUAUAAGAACGAGUGGUUCUCAUGUGUUGUAGAUUUGUAACGCGCUUUUAUUUCUACAUAAGUCAUUAGUAAGGAUAGUUUAUCGUGAUUUUCUGUUGUAAUUUGUUAUUGGACAAUUAUAAGACAGUUAGGAUAGUUAUAGGUCUGUUUUGAUGAGUAGUCAAAUGUAUAGCUAUCUGUAUAAAUAUCAAAUGUACUCUAAUUAUUUUCUAAUGAAAAACAUUUCUCAAUAUGGUAUAUUUUGCCUCUGUCUCACGACCGACUUCAAUCCUCUUCGAUCCUCUUCCUUCUUGCAUCUUUCCUCUCACGCUUCCAUUCUUCUUCUCUCUGUAACCCUAAUUUCUCAGCAAUGUCGUCUGCUUUUCCUCCAUCCUCUGAUUCCGCACCACCAGUUCAUCCCUCUUCGGUGACAAAUCUAUGUCCUAAUUCCUCUGGCACCGCCUCUACAACUUCAAUUACAAUUCAGAAUAUCGGCUUAAUGGUUCCGAUCAAACUCACUACCACCAACUAUCUCACAUGGAGUGCAUUGUUUGCUUCAAUUUUUCGAUGCUAUAUUCUUACCAGCAUUGUUGAUGGCUCUAUUGAAGCUCCACCUAAAGUCAUUAGAGAUUCAUCUGGUAAUCCGAUCUUGAAUCCUGAGUACAUUGCUUGGUUUGAGAAUGAUCAAAAUAUUCUCAUCUAGAUCAACUCAACUCUCUCUGAAUCGUUGAUUCCAUAUAAUGUUGGUGUAAAUUCAUCCCGAGAGCUAUGGUUUAAGCUUGAAUCGCGCAUUGCAGCGGCCUCUUAGUCUCACAUUCAUGACCUUCGAUCUCGCAUUCGCAACAUUUACAAAGGAGAAUCCACCGCUGUUGAUUAUCUUCAACAAAUUAAAGAGAUCUUUGAUGCUCUUACCAUAGCCGGAGCUCCGGUUGAGGACUCUGAACUGAUUCUGUUACACUCCAUGGCCUGCCAUCCGAGUAUGAUUCCUUUAUUGAUGCGAUUCAAUUCCGUCUCGGUUCUACAACAAUUGAUGAGCUUCAUGGCUUGCUUCUGAGCAAAGAAAUUCAACUUACCAAUCGCAAGAAAGCUACUACUUCCUCUGGUGUUUUUCAGGCUUUCAAUUUGAAUCUUGGAUCAUCAUCUAGAAUUUUACCUACACCGAUUUCCAAUUCUGGUUUUCACGUCUUUCUUGCUAAGAAUUCAUCUCAUUUCAAUCAGUAUCAAGGCCGUCCUCAAGAUCGAAAUCAAUUAAACCCUAGGUUUUCUCAGAAUAAGGGAGAUUUAUCUGGCUAUCGUGGCAACACUCAGCGUCCCGCUACAAUCAAAGGAAUAAUCGUGGAGGUCGCUCAGGUUCCAAUUUCUCUGGGAAAAGAACCACUUGUCAAAUAUGUCGCCAGUAUGAACAUGAAGCAUCUGAAUGCCCUCAUCGUAUGAAUCCUCAGUUUGGCAAUCGAAAUUCUUAGAUGACUAUGUGUGCUAAUCCUUCACAGAAUGCCUCUCCUUCAUGACUUAUUGAUUCAUGAGCUAGCUCACUAUGACAAGUUCUUUGGCGAAUCUCUAGUAUCCAGAACCCUACACAGGACCUGAGCAAGUCUACAUUGGUGAUGACAAAGGUUUGCCUAUCUCUAAUUCUGGUUCUUCAUACAUACAUACUCCUCAUCAUCGUUUUGCCUUGAAUAAUGUGUUACAUGUUCCUUAUUUAAAGCAAGAUUUACUCUCUGCAAAUCAAUUUACACUUGAUAAUGGGUGCUCAAUUCAUCUAUAUCAUUUUCACUUCACUAUGAAGAAUCUUACUUCUGAGAUUACGCUUUUUAAGGGACCUGUGCAAAAUGGUUUUUAUCCAUUCUCUACAUCUGUCAAUGCUAGUUCACAUAAGCUUUUUGCAGCAACUGUCAAAGCUUCCCCAGGGAUUUGGCAUCAAAGAUUGGGCCAUCCCUCUUUCAAAGUUUUACAUAAACUUGUUUCUCAGUCUAGUGUUCUUCUUACUACUAGUAUGAAUAAAACUUUUUGUCCUAAUUAUGCCUUGGGUAAAAGUUCAAAACUGCCAUUUGUAUCAGCUUCUAGUGUUACAACUAGACCAUUGGAACUUUUACACACAUAUUUUUGGGGUCCAGCUCCACUUCUCUCUGUAUCUGGUUAUAGGUAUUAUCUUUUUUAUAGUGGAUGAUUUCACUCGAUAUAGAUGGUUCUUUCCUAUCAAAUGUAAAUCUAAGGUAUUCAAACCCUUUGUUGAAUUCAAAGCUCUUGCUGAAUCUUUGUUAAAUACUAAGGUUGUUACUCUGCGAUCUGAUUUUGGAGGUGAACUUCUUAGUUCUGUGUUCACUCAAUAUCUUAAAGACAAUGGUAUUCAUCAUCAACUAUCUUGCCCUCACACACCUGAACAAAAUGGUUGUGUAGAGCGCAAACAUAGACAUAUAGUGGAAAUUACUCGAACGCUUUUAGCUGCUUCUAAUGUUCCUUAUAUUUACUGGGUUGAAGCAUUCUCCACAGCAGUUUAUCUUAUAAACAGAUUGCCUACCAUGGCCAGAUCCUGUCCUUGGGAACAACUCUUUAGCAAGUCUCUAGAUUAUACAACACUUAAAGUGUUUGGGUGAAUGUGUUUUCCUUGGUUAAAACCAUAUGCAGCUUCUAAAGUAGAACCUAAAAGUAAGCCGUGUGUCUUUCUUGGCUAUAGUCUCAAUCAUAAGGGCUAUAGAUGUCUUGACAUUCAAUCCAAAAAAGUCUAUAUCUCGAGGCAUGUCAUAUUUGAUGAACUGACCUUCCCAUUUCUUCAAAUCUCUCAGGUUUCACCUUCUUUAUCCUCAGCCCCUACUCAUUCUUCUCAAAUACCUUCAACCCUCACCUUCACCAAGCUCACUGCAGCACCUUACCCUUCUCCACCUAUCAACCAAAUUGUACCUUCCCUUAACCAAUCAUCUUCACCUCAACACACUACCUCUCCCAACUCCAUCUCUACUCAUUCCUCACCUAUACAACCACCCCUACCUCAAAACAUUUACCCUAUGCAAACAAGAUCUAAAUCAAGCAUUUUUAAACCUAAAGCCUAUUCAACCACUAAACACCCUAUUCCCUCUUAUAUUUCUCCAGAUUAUCUUCCUAGUACUUAUCUCCAAGCCUUAAAACACCCUCACUGGAGACAGGCCAUGCAGGAGGAAUUUAAUGCAUUGGUUAACACAAGAACUUGGUCUCUUGUUCCUUCUCACCCAUCUUAAAAUCUUGUUAGAUGUAAAUGGGUGUUCCGAAUUAAAAGAAAAGUUGAUGGCACUAUUGAUAUAUAUAAGGCUCGUUUAGUAGCCAAGGGUUUCCAUCAACAGGAAGGCUUAGACUACAGAGAAACUUUCAGUCCUGUGGCAAAACCAGUGACCAUAAGGCUUCCUCUCACACUUGCAUCUCAGUAUGAUUGGUUUCUUAAUCAGUUAGAUGUUAGUAAUGCCUUUUUGCAUGGAACUUUAUCUAAGAAUGUGUUUAUGCAGCAACCAUCCGGUUUUCAAGACCCUACUAAGCCUAAUCAUGUCUACAAGUUACACAAGAGUCUUUAUGGACUCAAGCAAGCUCCUAGAGCUUGGCAUGAAAGGCUUCAUGAUGUACUUAAAUCUAUGGGAUUCCAUGGCUCACAGAAUGAUCACUCUCUCUUUGUCAAGAAUGAUCAUUCUCUGGUGUUUAUCCUUGUCUAUGUUGAUGACAUCUUGGUCACAGGCCCAUCUUCACAAGCUUGCAAUGACACAAUAGCUCAACUGAGUGCUCUUUUUCCAAUCAAGGAUCUGGGUUCUCUUCAUUUUUUCCUUGGCAUUGAGGUCAAAAGGUCAUCUUCUGGUAUUUUUAUAUCACAAACCAAAUAUAUCCUUGACUUGCUUACUAAGACAAACAUGGCAGGUGCAAAACCAUGUGCUACACAUCUCAGUACAUCUAAACUGGAUCAUUCCUCUCCCAUGCUUUCUAAUCCAAAAGAGUACAUAUCCAUUGUAGAAGGUUUGCAAUACCUUACUUGGUCCAGACCAGAUAUUUCCUUUGCUGUUAACUUGGUCUGUCAGUUCAUGCAUCAACCAAGACAAUCUCAUUUGCAGGCAGUUAAAAGAAUAUUGAGAUAUUUGAAGGGCACACUUGAUCUAGGUCUCUGGUUUCCAAAAACUUCAAGUCCUCUCACUAUUAAUGCCUUCUCAAAUGCUGAUUGGGCAGGGUAUGCCUUGGACAGAAUAUCAACAAGAUGUUUUUGCAUUUUUUAGGGCAACUCUCUUAUUAGUUGGAGUGCUAAAAAGCAAACAACCUAGCUCGAUCAUCCACUGAAGCAAAGUAUCGAUCUCUAGCUAACAUUGCUGCUGAGAUUUCCUAGCUUUGCAAAUUACUUGUUGAUGUUAGUGCGUCUCUACCUUGUCUAAAUUGUGGUGUGAUAACAUUUAUGCGAUUUCCUUAGCCAAGAAUCCUUUAUUUCAUGCACAGACCAAACAUGUGGAGAUUGACUACCAUUAUAUAAGGGAAAAAGUUCUCCUCUAAUGUUGUCACUGAUCAGUUUGUGUGUUCACAUGAUCAAAUUGUAGAUAUCUGCACUAAAUCUAUAUCCAAGUCUUGUUUUCUGUUGCUCAGAGACAAACUAUCACUUCGGUUGCCUACGUUCAGUUUGAAGGGGCAUAUUAAGGAUAGUUUACCUUGAUUUUCUGUUGUAAUUUGUUAUUGGACAGUUAUAGGACAGUUAUAGGUCUGUUUUGAUGAGUUGUCAAAUGUAUAGCUCUCUGUAUAAAUACUAUAUGUACUCUAAUUAUUUUCCAAUGAAAAACAGUUCUCAAUAGUCAUCACCUUUUAAGUCUACGCGGUGAAGACCAGAUUCUUACGCGUCUUUGAUUAGUUGAAAUACAUUCUCUCAACUGUGUCACAAAAUUUCCAUUUUCAAAGAAGAGAUCGAUCAUGGCGCUGGCGGUGGUAGGUGGAGCCGCUCUUUCGGGUUUCUUCCAGCAAGUAUUUGUGAAGUUGGAUUUUCAGGAGGUCAAGAACUUCAUCAGAGGAAAGAAACUGACUGAUGGGUUGCUGAAGAAGUUGAGAAUCAAGUUGACGUCUGUCAGUGUUGUUUAUGAUGAUGCCGAGCAAAAGCAAUUACGUAACCCACAUGUGAAGCUGUGGAUGCACGAGCUUAAAAAGGCAGUCCUUGAUGCUGAAGACCUGAUCAAGAUAGAAGUGUUAAUCAGCUCAUUACCACGGGUCAACGCUUGUGAUAUAUUGCAAUCCAUCACGAGCAUUGUGCUUUUUUAGUAAUCUGGAUGUGAUAAAAAUCUUAGUUUCUACUACAGACUAUGCAUGUUGUCAAAUGUAAGAUAAACACAUAUUGUGUCCGUGGUAGAUUGAGAUCUAACACCACAUUCAGUACCACAUCGAGGGGAUGGAUUUGAUGGAUUAUCAGCUUCUUCAUCCACCUAGGAGCGAGCCCUUUUUCCGCGAAGAUGUUUUCCACAGUUUACGACAAGAUUAGAUUGUAUUGUUGCAUAAGAGUCUAAAAUUGCCACUCCAUCAUUGGUGCGUUUUAUUGAAGAAUCCGCUUUUAGUAUUUCCUCCGCAACGUUAAGCAGGAAGUGAUUUCUUCCAAACAAACUGUACAACUGCUCAACACUGGGGACAGAGUACACUUGAACAUUUCUCCUGUGAUCUCUUUAACCACUCUGAGAAGCAUCUGUUGCAGAAAUUAUGGAAGCAAGGAGCAAGGGUAACAACAUCACAGCAUAUGUUCAAGCAAAUGCAGGAUUUUGCAUGCUCGGCAUCCAUAGAAAUCUUUAACUGCUGCUGACAAUUUUCAGGACCACGCAAUACAUUGAACCUGUAGCUAAUAUCCUUCCUUAUUGGGACCUGAAGUAAUUUCACGCAACUGAUAACAAUAGUGUCUUCAGCUUGGAUUACAUUCCCGUCAACAACCAUUGCAUUUGAACUUUAAUUUUGUAUUGUGGCAGAUGAGUGGUCUGAAUUCCUUGUUAUCUUGCACCAUUUGCAUUUGCGGAUAGAAGAGAACAAGAUCUCUGAGCAAAGUACAAUCUCAUCUGAACUAAUCUGAACAUCCAGAUAUCUCGAGUCUGAUGGAACAAGCUUGGCCCAGAAUUCUUCACUGGGUUUUGUACCUGAGCUCUCUCCAACCUCUGCCAUCCCUUGAAUAUAUUCACAAAGGACUCAGGAACUUUAAUUUAGAUCUCAAAGAUACGUAAUCGCCCAUCGUUAUAUUCAUUAAAAAAGAAACAAAUACAAAUAUAUUCAACUAUUUAUGAGCAACAGCAAUUUUAAUUUUUAAUCAUUAUACAAAAUCUUUACCGCUAAUUAGAUAAUUCAUCCAAGUGUGAAAAGAAAACAGAUUUGCACUCAAACAAGACAGAUUCAUCAAAUAUGCUAUAUGAACGGCCCAACCAUUUCAACACUGAUAAACAGAUCAACUUCAUGUUUCAGACAUCCUACAACUACAUAAAUUGGAUCGUACAAAUUCCAACUAAACGUCAAAAGCUCUUAACUCAGAGCAUAACCACAUACUAGUAAAAUUCAUGGAAGAUAGUAAGUGCCAAUUAACAAGAGCAAAAAAAGGCUUGAGGAGAAGGGGUCCCCAGUAGAGGCAUCAGUUCUGGCCGGAAAUGAUACACACGGAACAAAUUAUGCAUAUGUAUUUCACAUUUACUUUAUGUUCAUAGUUUGAACCUCCGUUUAUGCAAUCUCACGCAAUUCUUACCGGAAAACAAGUAGAGAAACCUAUGAAAAAUUGAUAGGUUUCACUUGGGAAUUGUUUUAAAAACCCUAACAAGAAAACAUGAAAAGUUUGCGACUUUGGCCAAUAAACAAUCAAAGGGGAAAAUAAGUCGCAACUUUCACAGGAUUCUUACAUGAAGGAUUAUUUAUUGAGUUAUAUAUUAGUUUGGGAAUAACUGGCAGGUUUCAGUUUGGAAAACUGUAAACAAUAGCCAAAAUUUAACACCUAAUAAUGGAAAAUGAAAGAAAGUUUGCAACUUUAGCCAAAGUUGCAAACUUGACAGGUUUUAGUAUUAGUUUUAGCCCAAAGUGUGUCAACAAUUGACAGAUUUUACUUUUACUAGCGAAAUCUGUAACAAAUAGCCAAAAUUUAACCCCUGAUGAUGAAAAUGAAAAUAAUUUUUUUGCAACUUUAGUCAAAGUUUGAUCCUUUAACCCCUCCAAGUAGAAUUUGAACCAAUUCGAGCAAUAAUUAAACCCAUAAUUCUAGAGAAUGUCAUAGUGAACAAGAUUUACCAAAAUUUCCCGAAUUUAACACAAAUUUUCCAGGCAUAACAGGAAAUUAUAAAUACCAAUAAACAAGAAAAAAAUGAUGAGAAAAAAGAAAUACCUGUUGAGAGGAAAAGAAAGGAUGGAAGAUCAGAUGGGUCAGAGGCCGAAGAAGUUAUUUUCAAAGAAGAAGGAGAUGAUAAAACUUGUUCAGCAAACUGAGUACGGAAGAAUGCUCUCUGAUUAAUAAACAAACAAAAUUUAGAAUCAGAGAGAGAUGGAGGGAAGUGAAGAGUGAUGGGCUUGUUAAGACUGGGCCAGCCAAUGCUUUCUUGUAGUGGGCUGGCUAUAAGGUUUGCCCUUGACAAGUUUCGAGCUCUUCUACCUGCGUAUAUAGGUUGUGCGCACAGGCUGCAUAUGAUUUAGACUAAAAAAUCAGCGUUAUAUUAAAAUUGGACUCAAUACAUGGAGUGACUCGACUAACAUGAAUGACGACAUUAUAACCGGAUUCGAACAUUAUAUUAACAAAGUAAUUGUGACACAUGCGCACAACCCAUAUGCGCAGGGGAGAAAUUUUGGACAAGUUUCUACUUGCACUCAUGCUUUAGAAACAUUAUUAGCACUCUUUUUCUCAUUGUGCACUCUCCUAUUUAGUUGUGUUUUUAAAUUCUUUUUUAAUUCAUUCAAUCUGAAAUUCACAUAUAAACAAAGUAUGCAAUUGGAGAAGAAAAAAGUUUUGAAUGUACUUCCCCAAAGGUUUUUCCUAUCACACUAAAUUUCAUCAUCUUUCCUUAUGAACCGUUUAAGAAAAUUAUCAACCAAUAUUGUGCUGUACUGUGUAUUCUCUUCACUUCUUCUAAGUGAGAAGUUUUAAGGUUAACUAACUCUUUAAGUAAAAUAUUAUGUAUAAAAGACAAAAAUGAUCUUAGCCAGACGUCUGGCAAGAAGAUUUUAUGAGACAAAGAAAUCUGAUACGUUAAUCCAAUCUAACGACUGGAAAAAUAAAGAUGCUUCCAAAUUUUCCAACCCAAAAAUCUUCUUGCCUGACGUCUGGAUUAGUUCUGUAUUGUAACAACCCAUCCCUAAUUUUACGAUUUUAUUAUUUAAAUGAGAGAAUUGAUGAAAAUGCCUCUAGAGGUAAGGACUUUGACUUCGGUUAACCACCGUUUAGAGAGACAUAUGACUUAGUCUUUUGGCGUAUUGGCGUAGUACUCGACGAUACGAACGCGUAGGCAUAAGCGGAAUCAAAUUUGGAGCUACAAUGGAGAUUUUACAGACUAAGAGCAGUUACACCGUGUUGGAGGCCCCCUAGGGCUAUCCACUAUGCUAUCCAUCCAGUGAACAGUAACUUCCCUUAAUGAAUGUUGAGCAAAAAUUGUACAUAAUAUGUAAACAAAUAAUUCACUCGACACAAUUUCACCCUCGUUCAUUUUUCCGAAGACGGUUUUAUUAAUUCGAGUUCGACCCAUUCUAGGCUACGUGCCUAUUAAUUACAACCCUUCUUUUGGAAAGGAAUACCUUUUGAUUCUAAUUUGAAUAAAUCAUAACUUGAGGAUUUGGGUGUUUGUUUGAUUUUGUGACUGCACCUAGGUAGAAUCCUAGAUUGCCUACGUACCCUCAUUGAGAGAUUAAGUCACUCGUAGUUCCUUGGUAUUUGGUACUUGUUCGGAUUUGAUGCCUUUUUUGAUACUUGAUAUGGCUUCAUGCCUUUUGAUACUUGAUACGGCUUCGUGCCUUUGAGAUUUGUUGCGGCUUCGUGCCUUUUGAAAAUUUUUCUUCAGCUUCGUGCCAUUUUGGUAUUUGAUAGCAGGAGUGAAUUUAGUUUAUAUAAAUUAGGGAUUCGUUUCGGUUUCACGGUUGCAUCUAAAAUUUUGAUAUCAGACUGCCUACGUAUCCUUAACGGAAUCAAACCGGCGUAGUUCAUUCAUUAUGAAAUGACUUUGUGCUAUUUGAAGCGGCUUUGUGCCAUUUUGAUUUGGAUUUGGCUUUGUAGAAAUUUUGUAUCAAUUAUAUGCCAACUGAUACGAUGAACAAAUUUACUUUGGAGAUCAUAUCCAUUGACUUCACUUGGAAAAAUAUACCAAUUAAUUGUUAAUCAGUAUAAACCCCCUCUGAUUGGCAACUUUGCUUUAUGAGGUCAACUUGCUUCGUAUUUGAAAGCUUUGCUUCAGAUUUUUAUUCCGCAAGAGUUCUCUACCAAUUUCAUUAAUAGCUCCUUGGUGGCCAUAAUUUAGGCAAGGAGCAGUGGCUUGGCUUUCUUUUUUUUUGCUCUCCACGUGAGCAACCUUAGACUUUAUUCACUUUCUUUUCUUUGAAGACUUUGAACUUCACAAGUUUAAGUAGGACUCCCCAUGCAACUAAGAAAAGAAGACCACCUCCACAUUACUUUUGAUUUGACAAAAGCAACUUUUGUAUUUUAUUUUAUUUCUUUUGGCUGGAUCUCCUCUUCCUUUCAAGUUUUAAACUCAUUUUUUCUCUUCUGCACCUAUUUAAGGUUUUGUACCCAACUUCUUUCUUCUUCUACUUGAAGACUUCGAAUUUUCUAAGUCCAAAUAGGGCUUUCAAGUGGUGAUGUUUGGAGAGGAAAACCAUAUUUUUCCUUUUCAUUUGUUUUGAAUUUGCAUGGAAGACAACUGACCAUUUUUUUUAAGUGAACACAUGCAUGAUUUAGAAGACAAGUUUCUUCCUCUUCUUCUCUACUGCAGCUUUCCUUUGCAGACUUUGCAAUCUCCAUUUUUUCCUUAUCUUUUGAAUCUCUGACACAAAAGACUUUGGGUGGAACUCUUGAACAAUAAGUUUUCUUCCUUUCCCUUUUUCUGGAGUUUUUUUCCUUUACAAGUCAUCUUUUCCAUUUUCUUCUUAUCUUUCAAAUUCUUGACAUAAAGGACUUUGGGUGGAGCUCUUGAACAAUAAGUUUUAUUCCUUUCCCUUUUUUCUGGAGUUCUUUUCCUUUACAAACCAUCUUUUCCAUUUUCUUCUUAUCUUUCGAAUUCUUGACAUAAAGAACUUUGGGUGGAGCUAUUGAACAACAUGUUCCUUCCUUUCCCUUUUUCUGGUAGCAUCUGUCAAUUUACUAACUUUUCCUUUGCAAACCAUCUUUUCCUUUGUAAACCUUCUAGACCAUAAGUCUCAUAGGAAUCCACUCCUUGAAAUAGUACUUUGAAAGCAUGAAAGCUGGACCUUUUUUCAUUGUGGAAAAGACUUGUUUGACUUGUCUUUCUUUUGAGUUUUUGGACUACCCAGUGGAGGUAAUGGUGUCACCCGUUCUUUCUUCUUUCCUUUGCUUUUGGCUUGUAAAUUUUGUCUCCAUACUUUUGAUUAAACUUUGAACCAAUAUUUAACAGUGAGCAGUCUUGCCAACAUAUCACUUUCCUCCAGGUGGGAAAACGGUACACGACAGCUAUAUAUUUUGUAUAGAUUGCUUCCUUCCUGCCUUUUCCAUAGGGACCAAGCUUGGAACUUUGAAGAUGCACUUGCGGACCGACGAGCAUGGAUCACUUAUUGGAACUUCACGGGGUGGUUUAGACCAACCCGAAGAAAUUCAUGGGAUUAAACUGCAACGACACGGAGCGGAGCUCUUGGAUUUGAUCGAAACUUUACAGGGUGGUUUAGACCCCGAAGAAAUUCAUGGGAUUUAAACUGCAGCGGCACGGAGCGGAGCUCUUGGAUUUGAUCGAAAUUUCACAGGGUGGUUUAGACCCCGAAGAAAUUCAUGGGAUUAAACUGCAGCAGCGGAGAGCGGAAGUGGUGAUUCGUUGGCUUUGUUGGACUGCAACUCGAGAAUGCUGGGGAGUGGGAAAAGUUGAAGAAGCAAAGUGCUUCUUUUCUUCCUACAAAGCAGAAGAAGGAAACAACCCAAAAAAUUAAAUGAGAUGGUUUUAUACCUUCAAAUGUUGUGUAGCUUUUCCUGCCUUUUGUUCUUGCGUGUAGCUCUUGAUUUCUUCUUCUUCUUUUUUUUUCCUUUGUUGUGCCUUUGCUCUCUUGCUUUGCCUCUCUGUUGUCUUCUCUGUGCUUCUCAAUUUCUGCAGUGUCUCCUCUCUUAUUUCCGUUUCCCCUCAAUUUCCACUGCAACUGAUGCCUAUUUAUAGGCAUCAUAGGAAGCCUCUGGAGCCUUUACGUGGGAGAUAGAGGCCAUAUUUUUCGCCACCCUCUCCCACUGACUGUGUAACCUCCCACGUCUCUACAAAAAACCUUCCAUAUCUUGCAGAAAACUUUCCACGUUUUGCAGAAGAUGGGGAGUUUUGCUCCACGUUGUAGGAAGAAACAUGUGUUUUCUUUUCUCCCUUUUAUAUAUAAUAUAUAUAUAUUUUUUUUUUUUGUUCCUGUUUUCUUCUUUGUCAACUUGGAUUUCCAAGUUUAAGACUUCACGUGGGUGGUCCUCUUCUUUUUCCCCUUUUUCUAUUAUUAUUUUUUUAAUGCAUGUAUGGGAUCUGGAAGCAUUCAAAGCAUGCAUGGCACUUGGAUGCGGUGGGUUUUUUUUUUUCAACAAACAGUAACCGCCUUUUGCAUCUCCACCCCUACACUGAAUAGCCCUGACAAUUGGCAAUAAAAUAUUAAUAUUUUAUUUAUUUAUAAAAUAAUACAAAGAUAAUUAAAAAAUGACAAAGCAAAGAGCAGCAUUUGACUCUCUAUCUCUCUCUCUGUUGAAAUGAAGAUCACCAACACCCGCCACCACAAACACAAAGCUUAUCCUCCUCCACCCCCAAGCAAUCCACAAACCCACCACAAACGGCAGAAUCCACCGCAUGUGGCUCCUCUUCUUCUUCACCUUCUUCACCCUUACAUUCACCCUCACUCUCAUCAGCACCACCAUCCCUCAAACCCUCCCCACCUCCUCAUUCACCCCCACCUCCGUACUCCCCCUCCCACCCGCCGUCCUAGACGCACUUCUUCACUACGCCAUUUCAUCAUUAAAUACCUCGUCAGCACCCCACAUGUCCUAGUCGGAACUCACCUCCAUAUCCUCCUCCCUCACCCGCUUCUGAACCUGACAGAAAAAAAAAUUAAAAAAGGCGUCUGACGUCAGAACCACCUUAGGCGCUCGGGUCGGCAUGAAUCCACGGGCCUGGCGCUCGAGCUUGCUCGGGCCCCCUCGCCAGCCAACGCUAGACUUCCUCCCUCGGGCAAUCAGGCCCUGUGCUGAAGCCUGUCCAUCGAGCAAAAGCUCCCGCUAAAGCUGCUCUAACGAAUGUGAAAUGCGAUUUGGUAAUUUUAUGUUUAGAGAUACUUUGUAUUAUUUUGUGAGCCACGUGGGGCCCAUACCCUAUUUCUGCUCUGUCUCGUGUCCCCUCUUUGAGAAGUCUCGGAUCUCUCUCUUCUCUUUCCAUUUUUUUUUCUUCUUUCUUUUUCUUUCUUUUGCCAUCUUUUUCAUUUCACUCUCUCUCUAUUUCCCUCAUACUCUUUUAUUAGGGAGAAUGACAAGUCAUCUAAGUCUGCUACUGUUAAUAAUUCUGUUACUGUAAAUUAACUGAUUGUAUUAGUUGUGAUUAGUUAAGAUAGUUAUAAAGUAGUUAAGGGUAUCUAUGUAAAUAGCCAAAGGCUAUAUAUAUUCCUAGACAAUGUGUAAAGUUCUCAGUCAAGUAAAUACAAUCAAGAAAACUUACUGUUGAAGUUUUCUGUUUCUCAAUCAAUUGGACAUUAGUAAUGCCUUUCUUCAUGGAGACUUAAAGGAGGAUGUCUACAUGCAACAACCCCCUGGUUUUGUUGAUCCCUUACACCCUACAUAUGUGUGUAAGUUGAGGAAAUCGUUGUAUGGCCUCAAACAAGCUCCUCGAGCUUGGUUUGAUAAACUGUUCCAAGCUCUUCACUCUCUUGGAUUCACCCAAUCAUCCUCAGAUGCUUUUUUAUUUGUUCUCAAUGGUCCUCAGUUAGUCAUUGUCCUUGUCUAUGUUGAUGACAUUCUUGUCACCGGACCCUAUCCUCACCUCUGUCAACACUUCAUUCAGCAACUUGGGGCUCAAUUUCCAGUAAAAGACCUUGGUCUUCUUCAUUAUUUAUUGGGAUUAGAAGUACAUCGAUCUUCACAGGGUAUAUUUCUCCAUCAAACAAAGUAUUUAUUGGAUCUUCUCAAGAAAACAAAUAUGGAGGGUGCAAAACCUUGUUGCACUCCCCUUGGCUCUAAGAAAUUAGAUCACAGUGGCCAUUUUCUGUCCAAUCCUACUGAAUAUCGCUCCAUUGUUGGUGGUUUACAAUAUCUUACUUGGACUAGACCCGACCUUGCUUUUGUUGUGAACCAAAUCUGCCAAUUCAUGCAUGCUCCCAGGGAACAACAUCUCCAGGCAGCAAAAAGGGUUCUCAGAUUUCUCAAAGGCUCUAUCUCACAUGGUGUGUGGUUCACUAAAGGUUCUGUCCAUCUUUCUGCCUACUCGGAUGCCGACUGGGCUGGCUGCACAAUUGACAGGAGAUCAACCACUGGUUAUUGUGUAUUUUUGGGUUCCAAUCUUAUCAGCUGGAGUGCCAAGAAACAAAGUACUGUUGCAAGGUCCUCUACAGAGGCUGAAUAUCGCUCCUUAGCUCACACAGCUGCUGAGAUAACUUGGGUUUGCAAGAUUCUCAAAGAUCUGCACUAUCAUUUCUCUACAUUCCCUACUCUUUGGUGUGACAACAUAUCAACAAUAUCUUUAGCAUCUAAUCCUGUCUUUCAUGCUCGAACAAAGCAUGUUGAGAUCGAUUAUCACUAUAUUAAAGAAUUGGUUUUGGCUCAACUUCUCAAAGUCAAGUUCAUCUGCAGUGAAGACCAAUUAGCUGAUCUUCACACCAAGUCUCUGUCUAAAACCAGAUUUAAUUAUCUGUGUUCCAAGCUUCCCAUUGGCCUCAUUUCUGAUCCCCCUUCUCGCUUGAGGGGGUGUAUUAGGGAGAAUGACAAGUCAUCUAAGUCUGCUACUGUUAAUAAUUUUGUUACUGUAAAUUAACUGAUUGUAUUAGUUGUGAUUAGUUAAGAUAGUUAUAAAGUAGUUAGGGGUAUCUAUGUAAAUAGCCAAAGGCUAUAUAUAUUCCUAGGCAAUGUGUAAAGUUCUCAGUCAAGUAAAUACAAUCAAGAAAACUUACUGUUGAAGUUUUCUGUUUCUAUAUCUUUUCUCUUCUUGAUGAACCUCAUCAACCAUAACCACCACCACUUGCCGUCCCUCCGGUGAAUUUCACGAGGACCACCACUGACUGCUGUGACUUGUUCCCCUUUGUAACUCUCUUAACUUAUCUCGUCUAUCUCUCUCUGCAAGUGUAGAGAUGCCAAAACCAGUCACCCUCCACUCCUCCAACGAGCCACCUUACCAGACUACCACUACUCGAUCAACCACCAAACCCCAAUUGAGAUCGCAGCUCCCUGGGCGUGCACGGAUAGGUUAGGUCCGUUUCGAAAUUGAUUUUCUCCAGCGCGACUCCGUCAUCCUCAGCCUAGGUAAGCUUUGAGGACCAUCAUUUCUCUUCCUCUUAAUGGAAUGGUUUGAUUUCUAAGUUCCCAUGUGAAAAGUGAACGUGUUUUGAUGCAGGAAAUCUUGGGGGGGGGGGUUUUCCCCAAAUUUCUAGAGAUUUAAAACCAUAUGCCACUUGCAAGAUGUUUUUCCGGCCAUCUCAAACCGCAAUUUGUCCCCGUGAUGGUAUGAUCAUACUCUCCUCAUUACAAGCUUCACAUAUAUAGAUAGAACACUGAAAAUGGCUAGGUUUUUAGCUAGAAAUUAGCUCUGAAAAUUGGGGGAAAAACCUGAAAAAUCUGCAGAACUCGCAAGGAAGGCGAGUACAGUCGUACUCGCAGACGCAUGGGCGUGCAUGGACGCGUGAGGGUGGUCGGAGCGUGCGGCAACGCGUGGAGGAACCCGAGGUCCCGCCUUAGGUUUCUCGACGUGCCGAACCCGAAUCCGCUGUCCGUUUUCCAAAAUUCGAUCAUUUUAAAAUAGUUAUUUUAUUAACCAUACUUUGUACGCAAAAUAUGUUUAUACAUUAGUACGUUAAAUAUUUACGUUAAUGGUUUCGUUUCUAGGUGAAUCGCAAGGAUCUUCGAAACCCGCGAGGUGGGUUCGACCCUACGACAUGAUCUGUGAGUGGGUCUUUGCUUGAAAUAUUAUAUAUUUAUUUAGUUUCCAAUUAUAUAUUUAAUAACAAAUUUUCUACGUACGCCUAAAUUAUAUUAACGUUUAUAAGAAUUAGCGUAUUGACGAAAUUUACAAAAUUCUGUUAAAUCCUAUGGAAUGCACAGGUAUGCAUACUUUAUGGGAUUUUUAUUUACGGCCAUGAUUAAUAUUUAUUGACUAUUAUUAUGUCAACGCGAAUUAUCGAUUUACCAUUGCAUGACGACUAUAUUUACAAUAUUUGUUAAUCGUGUGUUAUACUGGUGUUUGUACUCGCUCGUGCCAGGGCCAUGCUUUACAUAUACGUUCACAUCGCACCGUACGCUCACUUUGGAUCCAUUGUAGGUGCCAGUCCUGUCCUAGAUUGCAAUAGGCAAUUAGAACUCGUAUGCGAUGUGUAUAACGCCAGUCUUCAUGUGAUUGUAGUACUAGAGCGUAAAUCAUUAUUACACCCAGUCAUGUUCAUGUCAGAAUAUCCUUGCAUGAACUCGUGUGUCAGCAUAUGUCAAUGAGCACUCAAUAUGAUAUGUUUAUUUCUACGAGAUUUGAUGAUUUCUAGAAGUUAUAUGCUUAUUUACGAAUUUUAAUAUCAUUUUAAGUUCUCAAGACGUUGCAGGCUACGGUAAGUAUUUUCAUACUAAACGUAAUAUGUAUAUUCGGAAACUAUACUUAUUUUACAGCGAGGGGUUAUUACAUUUUUAAAAGGUUUUACUAAACUUUAUUUUCAGGUCUACUCACCCUUGUUUUUCGCCCUUCCAGGUUCUAGUAGCUGAGCUUUCGUAUCGACGAGGAUUCUUGGCAAAUCUUAGUACUGAAGAUUACCUAUGAUUGUAUAAUUCUGAAUUCACUCUAUUGUACUUUACUUAUGCUCUAACAUCACGUGUGGAAUGGGUUCAUCAUGGUGCCAUGGAAGUCACUCUUGUGGAUAAGGGAUUAUAGAACUCGUUUGGAAGUGUUUUUAAAAUGACUAAAAACGUUUUUAGUGAAAAUGUUUUUGGUAUCAUGGUGUUCUAUUCUUAUACAAAACCAGUUGUUGAAGAAGUUCGAGGUCCUCCCAAUUUCAAAAUGGUAAUGAAAAGGUGAUUAAAUGACUCAACCGUCAUUGCAAACGUAUGUUAACUUUCAACCUCGAGGAAAUUUUUCAUACUUUCACAAUUACAACAUAAAGGUUGUUUGGUAUCUUUCUUGAAUCUAAUUUUUUUUUUUUUUUUUGAAACUAAUGAGUAUUUUGUAAUUUAGCUACAUUCAUUUUUUUUAAUUAUUAUAUUUAAAUCAAAAAAUUAGAUUCAACUCAAUAUUAACAAACAAACUCUUUAAACUUGGAUUUGGAUGAUUAAAGCUUAAAAUGAGGAUUAAAACCGUUUUGUUAAUGAGGAUUUUUAUGGAGUGAACGAAAUAACAUUUUCAUGGCGACUUUGAUCCAACACAGUUGAUUUCACGGCCUAUCUUCCUCUAAAUUCCCUAAACCAUACAAUCCUUGUGCAACCAACUUCGACCAGAUCCGCUCUGUUAGCACCUUUAUGAAGUUCACACAGUAACACAAAUCUUCUCAAAACUAGUGGUAUAAUUACAAACACGAAGACAACACGACUAAUAAGGUUGAUUCAACUCAAAGACAGAGAAUUUCCUUGUCUCAAGCACAGAAAUUCAAAAACCAUACCGACAAUCUUGAUGGAAAAAACACUUGUACACCAUCCAGUUUCAUGGAAAAUGCAACUCUAUUCAACUCCAAGAAUGCAAAUUCUACGAGCACGGAUAAAUGAACACAGCUAACACAGAAUCAAGACUCAAUUUUCACAAAUUACAACAUCAAAGUUUAAACCUUUUCACAAAAAAUCAUACGAAUUGCCCUCUCAAUCACACAAAAUGUCAUCUACAUUACGAAAAAAGCAACAGAGAAACAAAAUUCGGCCUACAUUGUGCAAAUUCGACAGCAAGAAAACAGUAGAAGCACCGAUUUAUCAAACAAAACAACUAUUACACCAAAUUUAAGGAAAAGAGAAGGAAAAAAAAAACACAAAUUAUAGUCAUACUAUUACUGUACCAUGAAAAUCGAGAGUUUGUGAUCACUGUCGGCUGCUAUCGUAAUCGACGACCUCAGAAUCCGCGAGCGAUCUGGAGUGCUGGACGAUGGACCGUCCGAUCGAGUUGAUCCACUCCUCCUUCUCUUUCUCCGAAUCGGCGAUGAAGUACAUCGUAUCAUGAUUAGUGGUGGAGAGCUCGAAGGCGCAGGGCUUGUGCACCACGUCCUCGGCGCCCUUCACCGUCAGGCACGUGCCGACCGGAAUCACGCCGCGCGGCGUCGACGAACGGGUAACGUAACUGUCCUUGAACCAGAACAGCUUCCCCUGUUUCAAGACGAACCAGCGGCGCCGCCACGUCUUGAUGUAAUCGCCUUGUUUGGUCAGCCAGGUGGCGCGUUCCGGGUUGGACCAGAACUCGAUUCCGGUGUAGUCUUCCGGACUCGGGUCUUGGCCCGUAGCCGCCCGCCACAGGCCCUCCAUUUUUUUUGCUUGGGCGGCGCGUGAGGUGGGUUUGUGUGGGAGGAGUUGAGGUUUUGGUCGGAGGUGAAACCGCGGAGGGAGAGAGAGGUUUUAUGUUUUUCUGACCGGAAACAGAAAUCGGUUUUUUGUUUGUUUAAUUUCGCAAACCGAGACGGCCGGUUGAU